rnacentral:lncRNA from 1 species
AAAGGCCUUGUUGGGAAUAUCUCUAAUUUUAACUUUUUUAGAAAUUAUCAACAUUCUCCUUUAACUUCUCCCAAUAGGCUUAUUAUUUUCACGGGUUUUCUGCUUGGAUUAGCUUUUUCUAUUCCUUGAUCCACUAGGAUUUGGUACCAUUGAAGGGAUUUUUAUUGUACCAUAAUCGAAACUUAUGAAACUUUUGCCAUGUUUGGUUCUUCAAAUGUAGUAAUAAAAGAAUUUUUUUUUUUUAAAAAAAAUUCUCAUAUUUGAUUUUAUCAUGAAAAAUAUUUAAAAAAAAAUCAAAUAUAAUUAAAAUUAAUUAUAAAUUUAUAUGUUUUAAAUUUAUUUAAUCUUGAUGUAGAAAAAAAAUAAUAAAUAAAAUAAAUUUAAAAUAACGUAUAAAAAUAAAUUAUUGAUUUUAAAUUUAUUUUUUAUUUUUCUCUAUGUUAUCUUUUCAUUGUAUUUUCCUUCAAAAUUUCUAGUAACCAAAUAUGACCUUAACAUAUUAACUAAGACCUCUCUUUCUGCGAAACAAUAAUUAUUAGGAUUCACCCCUUUUAGGAUAUGAGUCCAUGGGUGCUUAAUCUUGACAAUUUUAUUUUUUAUUUUUUAAUAUUCAUGGUUUUUGGGUUCUUAAACUUGGCAACUUUUUUUUUAAAAAAAAUAUUUUUUUAAUGGGAUUCACUUUUAAUAUGUUACCCAUAAAAAAUCUUGUAAAUAUUAUUUGCUUUACACUAUAAAAUAAGCACAUCAUAUGAUUUGUUUCCUAUAAGUAUUACAAACUUUUUACCAAAUCACAUGGGAUAUCACAUCAAGAUAUUGGAUUUUAACAAAAAUUUCUGAUUCCAAAACUUGUUUAAGUGGGCAAGUAUUUUAUUAAUUCUUAAUAAAUUAAAUAAAAUGAGUUUUAAAAGGCAUAUACAAACAAUUUAUUCAUCCUUAAUUAAUUAAUUAUUUUUCUUUAAUUUUUUAUUUUCUUUCAUUUUAGAACCAAAUAUUAAACAAAUAAUUUAAAAAUACAUAAGCUUCUAACUAAUUUUAAGAAUAUUUUAUUUUAUUUCAUAUUUUAUAUGAUAAAUCAAAUAUGAAAAAAUGAUUUUUUAAUACAUUUUUCCCUUUCAUUUUCCAAAUACCAAAUAUUAGAUAAAUAAUUUAAAAAUACAUAAGCUUCUAAUUAAUUUUAAACCUAUUUUAUUUUAUUUUAUUUUAUUUUUUAUAUUUUUUUAUGAUAAAUCAAAUAUGAGAAAAUAAUUUUUUUUUUAUAACAUUUGUUUCUUUUCUUAAUACUUUAUUUGAAACUAAAUAGAGCAUUAAUUUUUAUGUAGUAAAAAAAAAAUCAAGUGAAAUAAAUUUGAAGAAAUAUAUAAAAAUAAUUUUAUUAACUUUAAUUAAUUAAUUUUCGUUUCUUUUUAACUUUUCUAUUUAUCUCAAAUUCAAAUUUGUUGAGAUCAAACAUCGGAUUGCCAUCCUAAGCAAAGCCCAAUUUACAAUGGUGCUUGGACUUAACAAGAAACUAGUCACUCCACUUGGGCAGAAGUUGGAGGAGGUCAAGUCAUGCCAAAUUCCAGGAAGGAGCCCAUGCGGGCCUUCCCAUAUGAUCAUCAGAUGAGGUUUGGACAGAAACUGGGCUCAAGCCAUGCUUGAAAUUGAGCACAGCCCAUCCUCAUUUGUUACUUGUACAAAAGCUAUGGGACAAUGGAGCUUCAAGUGGGAGCAAUCAGAGUGUGACCCAAAUUGUGAGUCCUAUCUACUUCUCUCACUUUGUGGACACACCAUGAUCAAUAAUUUUCAGACUACACCACCUAUCCCAUAAACAGUUGAGUUGAACAUUUUACCAAUUUCAUCUUAAAAUUAAUUAAUUCUUAGUGAGAUUAUGACCAUACCCUAAAUCUGAUACCAAAUUUCCCAUCUCAUCUUAAAACUAAUUGAUUCCCUGAUGAGGUUGUGAUUAUCUCCUCUUAUAUGUUGUAUAAAAGAUGAUACAUAAUCUUCACUGAAAAGGCAAAAUUCCUUUGUUGAAGGUGAAGGUGAAACAAAAUGGUAGAAAUGAAUUAUUUUAGUAUUAUUUUUUACUCCUCAUAUAUAUUCGGACUAUUCUCUGAUUUGACAUGAUCUCAAUGUCUCUCUAGAAUUACUUUUAAGAUAUCUGUUAGGAUUACAUGGGGCUAAUUGUAUGCUUUUUAUAGCCUUUUUUUUUUAUUUAAGCUUUUUCCUAAUUUUUUAUUUGACCUAUCAUAUACUAUUCUCAGUAUUACCUUAUCUUAUUUUUGUAAUCUUUACUUUAUCCCUUUAGAGAUUUAUCACCUUUGGAAAAUUUUUGUUAAGUAAACCUAGGUAAAGAGAAAGGUGAAUUAAAUGAUAGUUGCUUUUAAUUUUUUUUAUUAAAUUUUAACACAAUCAACAUCUGCAUUCAAAAUAUAGUAAAGAUCUCACAAAGACUAGAUAGAUAACAAAUAUAAGAUCAAAUUAGCUUAGAAGAACUAAAAAAAAAAGGUUUUCAAUGGAUUGCCAAAGAUUUGCAAGAGUUCAAACCAAUAUUUUGACACAAGUUCACCAUAAGAGGCCCAUCACAUAGUCAACCAUAUGACUAGCUAUUAGAGUAUUAAAUGCAUAGCAAGUUAACAAUGGAGAGCAAAUUACUAAAGAGGUUGGUUGCAUAAUAGGAGAUUAAUUGAUGAUGAUAAGAAAAAAACAUUUCUUGUUAUGAUUUUGCUAUUUUAGGCAUGAAACAAUGCAAGAGUUUCCUAUGUAGACUUCAUUAUGUGAUUCCCUAAAACCUUUUAGAAUUUGAUAUCAUCUUUUGAGGACUUACACCAACUUUCAAUGCAAUUUUCAAGUUUAAAAGUUUUGUUUUAAUUUCUUGCAUUUUUAAGGCCUUAAAGUUGAUUUUAGUUCAAGAUAGUCUUCUAUCACUUAAAUAAGGACCUACCUAGAGAUCAUUUUUUAUGCCCUAGCAAGUAGCGACCACCAUAAUUCCAAGACUAACACGCAAGGAGUUCUGAGCUGCCUCUUGAGUCAUCAUAUUUUUUAGGAAGCACAACCACAAGAGUAACAAUGUUCGAUCCAUACAACAUUACUGAUAGUGAAAUUUUAAGGAUUAAUUGUUCAUGCUAUCCAAAAGGGCCGUUUACAACUUCAAGAUUGCAGAAGCAAAGCUAGAAAAUAGAGGCUCAAAAGUUUUGAAAGGAGGCAAAAGUUAUUUUUCAUAAAUCUCAAAAUAGCACAACCCCAUAUAUACUAUCUAUCCUUUAUUCCUCUUUUCUAAAGCUAACUUGUAUUUAUGCAUAAAUGUCUGACCUGUAUGAGUAUGAAGAAUGCAAGCGUUGAGGUUGAGAAUAUUAAACUUCAACUACAUUCCAUAGGAGUAUCCAAUGCUUCCUCGUGUGAACUUUUCCUCUCUUCAACAACGAAAACAAAAGCAUAUAUUAUAAAGCUAUGUAUAAUUAAGAAAAAGAAUUGAUUCCAUUCCACUGCUUUUAAUUAAUUCUCCCCACCACCUCUUGACUUACUCCUCAAGCCUCCCAACCUUUCCACAUGCAAAUGCCAACAGAUCAACUGUGAUUUUUGCAGCAAACCCACCAACUAAUCACCAUAAUUAAGCUACACAACAACAACACAAGCACCACUGAUUAAAACAAAGUGUUUUGUAAAAAUGUUUUUGAGACUAUAAGUGAUUUUUUAAAAAUGAUUGAUUUUUCUUCAAAACCAUUUUUUAUGCUACAGGUGCUUUUCAAAGCACUAUCAAACGGAUUAUUAGCCGACCCUCCAACCAUAAUUAACAUCAAUAUAUUUACUGAAAGGGAUUUGAUCAAGUGAGGCAUUGCAUUGACAGAAUCUGAGCCAUCGGAGUUUUGACAUUCGACAUUGAGACUCUUAAUCUUUGGCUUUAUUCUUGAUUCCCUAGGAACUCAAUGCUUUGUCACAAGGCUGACUGACCUGCACUCUAGCCUUACCCAUCUCCAUGAGUCCAUGGCAUGUAGUGGUAGCCUUUUAUGUCAAACCUAGGCCUCUUUUUCUUUUCUAAAUCUCACCUUUGCUUUAAUUUUUUCUUUUGAUUUUCAAAUUUUCAACCAUUAAUGAUGCUUAAACAGCUAAGAGGAUUGCAAAAAUUAGCGCUUAAGGCAUCAAAGCACCACUAGAUCAUGAUCUGAAGAUGUUAAUGGCAUCACUUUAUUUCUUGGAAAAGGCCAGAAGAUAAAAAUUGAUGAAAAAAGAAGUGAAAAUGAACCUUUGUUUAAAAGCAAUAGACCCUGAAAAGAAAAGAAAAUUUCAAAGUGGAAAAGAAAAAGAAUACCACCAGCUGCACCUCCACCACCCCCUCUACAACCCAGCCCAAAGUUCGAACUUUAUCGGAGUGCCCAAUUUCAUUGUCACCCUCACGGAAUCUUUGGUCAUGGGGUCGCAUAAUUUUGUAGCCAAAUAAAGAACUCACUGGCUUGUGGGCAUAAAAUAGAAGUCGAGAAUUAAGCCAUUUAACCCUCAAAACUUCAAAUCUUUCACACUUUUCCAAUUUCCUUUUAACAUUUAUGGGAUGCAAAGGAUCUUUUUCUCAUUGGGUAAUGAAGAAAGAAUAUUAUGAGCAACAAGUAAUGACAAGGAGCAAGGUAACAAAAAGAAUAGAGUGAGUUAGCUAGAUGUGGAUUGGAAAAUCCAGGAGAAGUCACUCUAAUCGAUGCUAUAAAUCUUGUCUGCCAUGAUCUAAGCAAGCAAUGGAAGGACUAGUACUUGGAACCAGUGAGAUUGAGCUGCAGGAAGGGGGCUCCACACUUGCUAACAGUGCUAAGAUAUGAACAACAAAACAUGAUCAUUAAGACAUGAUCUGCAAGUGUGAAGGGGCUCAUCAUAAGGAUAAUUAUUCUAAGAACAUUCUCUUUAACCCAAAUUACUAGAGAAAAAGAUAAAGGAAGGAAACAAAGCGACUCUCAAAAGCAAAAGUCCUCUGUCCCCUGGCCCAGUGUGUGCGUGCGUGUGCUUGGCCAGCUCUUACCCACCAGUCUAUUUGCUCUUCUCGGAGGGAUGAUGUUAACCAAAGAGCAGAAAAAAAAAAAAAAGGAGACAAGCUAUUUUUAAUGUGGUUUCAUUAAUGGGAUCCCUGAUUCCCUAUGUCUGUGAUGCGCAACGACACUUAAAAAAUUCACUAAUUAAAUAAAAGGGAAGGGUUACAAUGCUUAAGGCCCUCCCUCUCCUCUCAAUUUCGAUCACACUCUAAUUUUCUUAAAACAAAAUUCUAAAUCAUAGGAGGGUUAAAAAUACAAAAAAGGUAAACCAAUAAAUAAAUAAAAUUUCAAGAUGCAUUACACUCUUAAAUCCCGAUGAGUUAAUCGAAUGACUUGAUCCUACGAGCUCAACCUUUAGCAUUUCUUAUGUCAUGCAACAAGAUUGAUUCAGACUUCACAAUCUAUCCAAGAACUGCCCUAGGUUUUGAUCAUGAACAAUUUGUAAUUAACCCCGAUUUGAUAGAGAGAAGGUGGCAAGAAUUCGGUUGGCCAGAAGCAGCUAAAACCAACAAAGUCUGUAGGGAAAGAUAUCCUCUGUUUCGCCCAAGAAAGAUUGAUUGAAUCAUCAAUAAUUUGAAGCGUGAGUUGCAAUUAGAUCGAUUUUGUUUUUGGGGGAUCCAUUAGAAAGGAAGAUUGUUACAGGAUAUGCUAUGUUUGCAGUGAAUGAGUGAGUGAUUGAAGCUAGGCAGUGAGUGUGGGGUAGACUGUAGCGGAGGCAAAGAAACCAGCAAAAGCAAAAAAGAGGUAGAGCAGUGGCUUCAGCUUCAUGAUGCUUUAUUGCUUUAUCUUUCCCGCGUUUUGCUUUUUCAGCUAUAGCUCUCUUUUUUUGAGCCAAGGUGCUCUUAUCUCAAUCACACUCCCACUAAUUCUAUGCUACUUUUGUCUUCUUCUCUCUUUCUUUGCAGUUUGCAUACAUGCAAUCCUAUUUAAGGUCUUCAACAAUAUAUGGUGGGUGAUGCAUAGACAGAGACAAAAUCAUAAGCCACACUCAGGGUCAAGCCAAGAUGGAGAUAUUGUCACAGAUGUGGUCUUUCUUAGGCCUCCUCACUGUACUCCAAAACGUCUUGCCAUCCCAAAUUCUGUCACUUCUCCACUCCUUCUACGAGUCCCUUCAAGACUUCUUCUCCCCAUUCGCCUACUUCGAGAUCCCUGAAUUCAACGACUACUGCGGCGUCGACGUCAAUGACCUCUACCGCCAUGUCAACCUCUACCUCAACUCUGUCAACCCUGCCACCACCUGCCGCCGCUUCACCCUCUCGCGCUCCAAAUCCUCCAACCGCAUCUCCUUCACCGUCGCUCCUAAUCACACAGUCCAUGACUCCUUCAAUGGUCACACUCUCUCCUGGACCCACCACGUGGAGACGGUUCAGGACUCUCUGGACGAGAGGAGAAGCUUCUCCCUCAAGCUCCCCAAGCGCCACCGCCAGGCCCUCCUCUCGCCCUACCUCGAGCUCGUCACCUCUCGCGCUGAGGAGUUUGAGCGAGUCUCUCGCGAGCGAAGGCUCUUCACCAACAAUGGUCAUGGCUCCUACGAGUCCGGCUGGGUGUCCGUCCCAUUCCGCCACCCCUCCACCUUUGAAACCCUCGCGCUGGAGCCGCAGCUCCGGCAACAGAUAACGGACGACCUGACCGCGUUCGCCAACGGGAAGGAGUUCUACCAUAGGGUGGGACGCGCAUGGAAACGUGGGUAUUUGCUAUACGGACCGCCUGGGUCCGGCAAAUCGAGUUUGAUCGCAGCAAUGGCGAAUUACCUCUGCUACGACGUUUACGACCUGGAGCUCACCAAAGUCUCCGACAACUCCGAGCUCAGAGCACUUCUGAUACAGACCACUAACCGCUCCAUCAUCGUCAUCGAGGACAUCGACUGCUCAGUCGAUCUAACGGCGGACAGGCUGUCAAAGACGAAGAGAACGACACCGGCGAAAGGGUCCAGCAGAGACGAGGGUGAGGAGAACGGGCGGGUGACGUUGUCGGGGCUGUUGAAUUUCACCGACGGACUGUGGUCGUGUUGUGGGGAGGAGAGGAUCAUCGUCUUCACCACCAACCACAGGGACAAUGUUGACCCAGCGCUCGUUAGAUGCGGCCGGAUGGACGUUCACGUUAGCCUCGGCACCUGCGGCAUACACGCCUUUAAGGCCUUGGCCGCCAACUACCUGGGCUUGGAGUCCCACCCUCUGUUCGACGUCGUGGAGAGCUGUAUAAGGUCCGGCGGGACACUCACGCCAGCACAAGUUGGAGAAAUACUACUGAGGAAUAGAAGAGACGCUGAAGUGGCAAUCAAGGCGGUGAUAUCGGCAAUGCAGGCAAGGAUUUUGGGAGCCGAAAGGGAACCCAUAGAGUAUGAGGAGAUGGCGAAGUCGCCGGAGAGCGUGGAGAGGGGGCUGAUGGAGUCGCCGGAGAAUUGGGAGACGUCGUCGCCAGGGAAAUACGUGAGGAAGAAGAGGAAGGAGGGGGGUUCAGUUACAGGUUCAGGAAGUAGCUGGGAGAAGAAAGUCAAAUUCUUGGUGAGACUGAGAUCUUUGACCAAGUCUGACUCUGGAAGAAGGGGUUGUUAAUUGAAAGGUCAAAAUUUUGGGAUUGAAUUAGAUGUAAUUUUGUAGUUUCUUCCUUAAUUAAUAACUAAUUUAAGCUUUCGAUUAGUUAGUGACAUGGAUCCAAAGUCACAAUUUGUACAAAUGUCCUUAAAUUUAGCUUUAAUGGUAAUUUUGACGUAAACUUUAGUAUCAAAUUUUCAUAGCGCAAAUAGGUCAUUUUAUGGUACCCAAAAAGUAAAAAUGAUAACCAAUUUACAAAUUUUUUUUUUCAUUUUUUAUUCUACCAUAUUUCAUAUGAAGAAAUUAGUUUUAGAAAUAAUUUCCCAAUAUUUACAAGUGUGUAAAAUGUAGCAUAGCACCUCAACUUGAGGUAUUUAAAUUUGGUUUAGUUGGAUGCAACCAUUUCUACAAAUAUUUAUAAUUACGUGGCAGAAAAAAAAUCAAAAUAUUCUAAGAUUUAAAUCUACAAUUUUUGAGAAAUAUGACAAUAAUAAUUUGAAAUUUUCCUAAAAUAUUUUUAUUUUAUUAUAUUCAAGUGAUAAAUAAUAAUUAAUGCCCAUCUAGAUUUUACAUUUUGCAUUUGGGGUGGAUGGUCCACACAACAACCGGCACUAUUUCACGUGCGAAUACACACGAGUCCCACCACCAAACACACCACGUGGUGGAGGGAGGCCACGCAUUUAUUCGCCACACAACACAAAUAUCUUCUUCCCCUCCCCUCUUCCGAUAAAUACCACCCACCUACUGGCUACUGCCAAAAUUCUCACACCCCACCAACAACACACAAAAAAUGGGAGUGGUGAUAAUAGACGGAUCCACGGUGCGAGACUUCGUUGGCAACGACGCCUUGUUCAAUAAGAGCGUCGACGACCGCUUCUCUGCCCUUGACCUCAACGGCGACGGCGUCCUCUCCCGCUCCGAGCUCCGCAAGGCCUUCGAGACCUUUAGGCUCUUGGAGGCCCACUUCGGCGUCGACGUCGUCACUCCUCCAGAGCAGCUCACCCAGCUCUACGACUCCAUUUUCGAUAAAUUCGACUGCGACCACAGCGACACCGUCGAUCUGGAGGAGUUCCGAUCUGAGAUGAAGAAGAUCAUGCUCGCUAUUGCUGAUGGUUUGGGUUCCUGCCCCAUUCAGAUGGCUCUUGAGGACGAUGAUCAGAAUUUCCUCAAGAAGGCUGCGGAUUUCGAGGCCUCUAAGACUUCUUCCUGAACAACCACCCACCCUCAUGUCCUACCUCAUCUUUACUGCUGUAAUUUAGGGUUCCUUUUCCUUUAUUUUGUAAUCAAAACCUUUUGAUGAGGCUAUCUCAAUGUCAAAAAUCCAUUUCCCCCCACACCGUUUAAUCUAUUUAUUAAUCUGAUUUCAUUGGUUUAAACAAAGAGAACUAACCCAAUUCAUCUAAAUUCCAAUCACAUGAUGAAUAAUUGACAUUACAACCUCAACCCACUGAUGAUUUCAGUGGGUUUAAGCCAAUAAUACCAGGGGCGCUAAUUUUCAGAGUCAUCCCACCCACCUGCAAAACCAACAACCAGACCCCCGUAAAAGGAAGGAAAAAAAAACUCCAUCCCACUAUUUUUAUUACUUUUUCUUUUCAUAGGCCUAACCACCAGGAUCAAGGUGGUUUUAAGUUUUAUAUCCAAGACCAUAGGCACCGACAAUCAAUCAUAUGACAAGUACACUAAUUUGAUGAAUAUGUUGAAAAAAUAUCAAAAUCCAGUGUACCAUCCAUGUUACUUUUGUCUCAAAUUCCAAUCAUGAGAACAGUCCAAAUAAAAGUGUGAAUGGCCGAAGUUUACUAUGUCAUGAGAAAGUUCUGAAGACUCCAAGCAUUUUGCCAACGAGCAUAAAUGCAUAUCAACAACUCCAAAUGAGUUAAACCUUUCACUGUGUCCAAAAGAGGGAAAAUGAGACCACCCAAUGUGGAUUCAAUGCACAGAAAUAAAAAAUGAAACGUCACAUUUCGCAAAUGCGGAUUCAGUCCAAAAGUAAGUUAAAAAAUAAUACUACACUUCAACCUAAAUGAACAAAAAAAAAUUAAAAUGAGGUAGCCCCUUCGGAUUUUUGUUUACAUGGGAGGGCUGUUUUGGCCCAAAACUCUCUUCACCGCUUCAAGCUCCUUCACCCCAACCAAUGUGCGUUACCCGCCAUGUGAAUCCCAUGUGUAUUACAUAAUGCGCCCUCCAAAAAAGGUAGGAGUUCAAUACUGUUGAUCAUUAUAUACAAGAAUACCAUCGCAACUUGGUGAUAUAACCCAUUAGCGAAUAAUGAUCAUAGUGCUAACCACAAAACCAAGUACAAAAGGUUCUUAACCCUCGUAAUGCAAACUUAAUAAUUCUCUGGUUCUUUUCUAAACAACCUAGAAUGAUAACAAUAUACAAGCUUAUCACACACAAUGAUGACAAAAGGCCAGGUAAGUAAUUAUAAUGGUAACUAUUGUUAAGACCUCCAACUAUCAAUGCAGAUAUAACUUGAGCAAAAUCAAUUUCAUUAACAUGUUUGAAAGGAAGUGACAACAACACUUGCAGUUCUCCAUCAAACAAAGCAUAUAAAAAACAAGACACUCCAUUUAAUAAACAUAAUUCCAAGAAAAAAACAAAGAGGCUAAUGGGACCAAAGAUUAAUAGAGAUUAGCUUAGCGUAGCAUAUACAUGAGCUGAACUAAUAUUUUACAUCGAUAAAUUAGCUCAGCAUUUUUGGCUUACAAUGCAAAAUGGGAUGUUCUCAGAAACCUUUCAUAUUUCCAAGCACCCUGAGGAGUACUGUACCCUUAAACCCAUUAAGUAUUCUCAGCAUAUUACAAGAAAAACACAGCACUCUUUCAUUUAUGCAAUCAAACAAAUUAAUCAAGGCAUAUGCCCAAUCAUGCUGUGCAGCCUUGUACCAACACACACUUAAAAGUAUCACCUUAAAUGUUUUAGACUCAAUGAUAUGUAUCAAAUUAUGCUGGCUUUUACUCAAUGAAAAGGAGUCAUCAUGCUGUUAAAUGUCGUUAAUCUCACUAACUUUACUUACGACCAACAUUUAUUCCAAUAAGCAUCAUGAAUCCCACUAAUUUCAUUAGGACCAACAUCAUUGCAUCACAAAUGUACAAAACAUUUUUUGAAUAAAUGCAACAUACUUGUGUCAACCAUCAGUUCCUGGUUGUAAUCACAUCCUUUAUGCCAUGACAAUGAGAAACUGCGUUCAAAACCACAACCACCAAAACUAAAAAUAGGAAAAGUUCUAAUCUAACACCAAAAUUUCCAACUCCAAACGGAACAAGACAUUUAUAAAUGCAAGUCACAACUUUAUCAAGUGAAGCACAAAUUUAAAUGACUAAAAUUCGAACUAAUACAUUUAGAGCUAAAAUUAAGAUGGUAGGCCACAUCAAACUCCUCAAAAAUCACCCCUAAGGUGAGUUCCAAACAAGGAUAUGCUAUUUGCAGAACCACUUCUACCACUUGAUGUCGUGACAAGUUGUUUAGUAGGUAAAAAAGCAUGCAUUUUAUUUCUUAACUCAGUUUCUACCAUCAAUCACCACUUAUCACAUUGGUUAGAGUAAAAGCCAUUGUUUUUUAAGAAGAAAGAAUUGAAUGUUACUAUUCACUUUAUCAUCUUUUGAAGAGAUGAUUAAUAAGAUCAGAACAAUGAUGAAAGCCCCAUUCUACAUAUCAAAGUAGAGGAAAUCUAGAUUUGAAUGAUUCACAGUAUACAUCAUUAUUGAAGCAAACAAAAUUGGGAUGACCCAUGGGAUCACCACCAUCAUUGCCCUGUUCCCAGCAUGAAUUUGGAUAGGGUAAAUCAUGAUAAUCCACCCAAAUUGAUGAUGAGAAUGGGAGCUUUGGCAGCUGCAAAAAGCAAAGGGAAAUCAAGCUGUAACAAGAUCACACAGAAACAAUGUCGGAACAUCUGAAUGCAUAAACCCAGCGAAAACAAAGAGGCAAAUGCCAGAAUCUCCGCCCCGUUGUCACUGUAGGCAACGUACAGCGCUGAAUACGCUAUUGGGAAAGCGUAUCAGAGACUCUAAUUUGUUGCCAUGCACUACCAAAAGCAAUAUCACAGAUGAAAUAAAAUCAUCCAAAACAAUAAUUUCAAAGUAAGAAAAGGCUCAGAGAGUAAUGAUUCUAGAUAGCAUCAACAAGCUUCCAAGCUUUCAUAGUUUGAUGGUAUACGAUUCUCGUCAUCGCUGCCUCCUCAUCAACAAUUUUGAUUAUCCCAGACAACCCAUGAAAAUUAAAGAGAUUUAACAGAGAACCCAUAAAAACUCAACUCCAAAGAAGGCGAGAUCAGACCUUAACCUUGCGAACUGCUGUUGGAUGGUGAAAGGGACCUGAGGAAUAGAAGGGUUUAUAUGGGAGAGCCACAAACCCUAACCUUGCUUUUGAUUUGGGCCUUAACGCAAACAUUCCGGCCCUAAUAUUUGGAAGGCCCAUAGACGAGCCCAACUCGGUCCAAGUCCACAUCUAGCAUUUAAAUAAAAAAAUUUAGCUCAAUUUAUCUAAAAAAAAACCACGUUUGAAUAAUGGACAUAUUUCUUAUGAAAAUAAAAAUAAUGAUAGUUAUUUUAGUAGUUAAUUUAUAUUUAAUGAAAAUUUUGUAACAAAAUUGUGCUUUUAAAAUCAUAAGUUCAACUUGGGUUUUAGCCUUAAAAGUUAAUAUGUCUAGUGAUAAAUAAAAUUAAAAAAAAAAAAAAAACCACUCUUCUUAGUAGCUCAUUUAAAAGACAGGUUGAUGAUACUAAAAGUUUGACCUAUAAGGGGCCUUAUUAUCAUCGACUUCAUGAAUAGUUGCUUUAUAAAGAAUAUCAAUUUAUUUGCUUGAUUUGAAAUGUGGUGGAGAUUUUGACUCUAAUAUCACUUUAAUUUCCCGUUGAGUGAUGGCUCUCCCAUCACUUUUAUCAUUUAAAUUAAUUUUGAUCAUUUUAUUAGUGAAAUUUACGUUUCUUAACUAAAUAUAAAUGGAUGAUGUUGAUGUUAUUAAUUAGCUGAAAGCAUGAUGAAGAUUUGGUUAUGAUAUUACUGUAAUUCCUAUUUUUCGAUGAUGGUUUUCUUACUUCUUUAUCUUUGUAAUUAAUAUUCAUCAUUUUGUUAGUGAAAUUUAUGUUGCUUGGAAAUAAAAAGAAAUAACAUUACUACAAUAAGGUAAUAUAAAGAUAGUUUAUUAAUUUAUGGAGCGGUUUAAAACUUUAUUUAUCUUUAAGUAACAUAGUAUACUACCAAGAAAAUAUUUCUUGUCUUUUGAAAAGUCAUUUUUAUUAUUUAAGAAAAUUGUCACAUGUUGGAUGACAAUUAGUUUGGGUUUUAGUAGAAUAUCUUUAAUCAAAAGACUCGUUAACUAAAAAGUUUAUUUAAUUAAAAAUAUUAAUUCGAUUAAAUACAUCUAAGAAGAUUGUCAAGUCAUGAUGAGUGGACGGAUUCACCCACUUGUAUACGGCUACGAGUUGAUGUGUAUGGAUUUAUGAUCCAAAAAGACGCAUAAAAUUUAAAGAGGAAAAAGGAUGCGUCGCCUGAGAGAUUCGAACUCUCGCGGGGAAACCCCAUGUACUUAGCAGGCACACGCCUUAACCACUCGGCCAAAGCGACGGUUGAAAGAAGACAACAGCUGAUAUUGUAUUUGAUAUAUUACUUUUAAUAAUAAUAAAAAUAGUGUCACCGUCAAGUCUGUUUGGAGUCUGGACUACCCACCGUCUCAUUCAAACUAAUCCAACCCCCGUCACCAAAAACAACUCUCAACCCUUGAGCCUUCUGGAUCCAAACAACAUUUUUGGUUUUCCUUCUUUCUCUCUCUUCCUCUCACCCCCAAACCACCCUCUGUCUCAGGUGACGUCAUGUCGGCCACCGCCGCCACCACCCCCACCACUCCCACCGCCGCCACCGCCAUUGACCGCCGCACCUACUGGUGCCACGAGUGCGACAUGAGCGUCACCCUCUCCCCGUCCUCCUCCUCCUCCCCCACCCUCCUCUGUCCCCACUGCCACAGCGACUUCCUCGAAGAAAUGGACUCCCCCAACCCCAACCCCAACCCCAACCCCACCGCCCCCAACUUCUCCUUCCAUUCCGAAAACUUCCUCCUCGACAGCCCCUACCUCCACCGCCUCAUUCACCACCUCACCCAUCCCUCCGACACCAACAACGACGGAAAUGACAGCAGCGACCUCCCCCCUCCUCGCUACCUCAAUCCCAAUUCCGUCGCCGCCUCCAGGGCUUCCCUCGAAGCCCUCCCUACCUUCAAAAUCACUCCCUCCUUCCUCCAACUCGAUCCCAUUUUGUUCUGUGCCGUCUGCAAGGAUCAGUUCGUCGUCGACGUUGAAGCCAAGCGGCUUCCCUGCAACCAUAUCUACCAUUCUGAUUGUAUUCUCCCCUGGCUCUCGCAGCAGAAUUCGUGUCCGCUGUGUCGGUUUCGGCUCCCCACGGAUGAGGGUGAGGAUUCGGGGGAUGCGGGGGCGACCGUCACGAUGACCUUUGGGGAUUUGAUGGAGGACCAUGAGCUGUUUGGGCUGGGGAGUACUUUGAGGCACAUUGCCCGGAGGAAUAGGCUGGUCUUUCCGGCCUUGUCUGCGGAGGGGCAGGCGCAGGCACAGGGUGAAAGUCUAGGGCCUGAUAACAGUGUGGAGACUGUUUCCAGCUGGCCUCGUCAGGUUUUGGUUGGCGGCGGUGGCGGCGGUGGUGGUGAUGCAGAUUUUGGGGCCGGUGCUGUGGCGAAUGAGGAUGCUGAUGCUAUGAUGCCUGAAGUUAGGGUAUCGGGUUCUGUUUCGGCUUCAUCUUGAGGUGUGUUUUAACUGCUUUCACCCUCUCCCAUACUCCAAUUUCUCAUUUAUGCAAUUGAUCUAUUUAACUAUAUUGAAAUUCCAAUUGAACUGAUGUAUGUCACCUGGAUGAGCACCAUAUCAGAGUUUGAUCCUAUUCUCUAGUUCUUCAGAUGGAGAGUAGUGCAAAUUGUGGGAUGCACCUCUCUGUAAUGGGUUUCUGGGUGCUAUUGCUAGUACUGGUUCACUGUCCAUGUUAUCCAUAAUGUUAGAGUGAUUGGUCCAUGAUGUUUUGCUUUGAAGUAGUUUUCUGGGGCCUAGAAGUUUUGUUUAUCUGGAGACCUAACUGCAAACAAGAGGAAGGUAGAAUUUGGCUGCAGUAGAGGCCUUACACCAACUGGGUUUCAGUUGCAUUCCCACAUCGAUUCCAGUUGGAAUUGGGAUUGACGACUCAUUCCUUAGAGCUUAAACCAAGUAAACCAAACUCGUGGAGUAAUGAUAUUAGACAUUAGACCCUGCUAGCCCAAAAUGGACUUCUUGCAACCCAGCCUUGAUGGGAAGAGCUUGUGCCACUGGAGGAUCUGUAUACUCUGUCAAAUUUGUUGUUUCCCAGGAUGGUUCUUCUUUUAGAAGUUCAAUUGUUUGGAAUGGUGCAGGUUUAAAUAGUAUUCUUUUUUUAGAGGAAGUUAAAGCUUAGAAUCAUCAAACCUAACUAGUUAAGCUAGGUUGGCUAAAAAAGAUGCUGAUAUGCUGGCCAAUAGAGCAGACAACUCCUCUUUUAAGGAGUUUAAUGGGUGCUUUCUCCCCCAUUGAGCUUAUCCAUCUUAUGUUACUAGAUUGAGGCAUUGUUCUUUACUUCUUUUUCUUUUCUCCCAUUAUCUUUCUUCUUGCACCUCAUUUUGCCUUAAAGACUUCUCAUCCUUCUAUGUGAUUACCUCCUUUCUAUUUAUCCUCUUCUUGUUUCUUAUCCAAAAAUGGAAAAAGGAAAAGGAAAGGAAAGAUUACCUUGUUAAGUUCAAAUUAACUUUUUAUUCUCAUAGUCUAUCCAAAGUUUGUGGAUAUAAAGUUAGAUUAUGUGCUCAGGAACUUCUCAUGGAUGGUGAAGGGGACAAGUUUAAAUGUCGCUUGCUUGAAUGGGUGAAGAUUAGUGUGGGUAGAAUAAGAAGUUUUGAGCAAGUUUAAGACUAUGUUUGGUUCUCAGAAAGUGGUAAGGAAAGAAAAAAAAUGUUAAGGAAAAUGAUUUUCUUAUGUUUGGUUUUACUAUGAAAAGUACAAAAGAAAGUUAAAUAUAAUUAAAAUUAGUAAGCAACUUAUAUAUUUUUAAAUUAUUUAAUCUUUAUAUAGAAGAAUUAAAUAAAUGAAAUGAGUGUGAAGUAGAAUAUAAAAAUAAUUUAUUGAUUUUAAAUCUAUUUUUUAUUUUCUUUUACUUUUUUUUUCCUUCUACUUUUGUUCUCUAUUUUCUUUCCUUUGCAUUUUCCCGCAAACUUUCCAGAAACCAAACAUAGCCUUGAAAGGGUGAAGAUCACUGUGGGCAGGUAAGAAGUUUUAAGCUUUUAUUCCUGGUGUCUUAGUUCAACAUGAUUGUUAAUAAGUAGAACUUGCAAGGUUAGGUAAAGCACAUUGUAAUUUCUUAUGGAUGGCAAGGUGAAGGAAGCAAUAAGAGACAUCACAUGAAUGGGUAAGCUUAUAGUGGAGGAAGAUCCAUGAGGUCUGGACUUCUAAUCUUUUGGCCAUCUUCUUUUAUUAUGUUUGGUAUUGAAGGGGUUGACUGUAUAAGCUGCAAGGAGCAGUCAUGGUAAUCAUGGGCUUGCAAAAGAAGAUAGGCCACAUGUAAUUACUUAUGGGCCCUAUGAAUGGAAUUUACAUUGAAGAAAUUGAAAUCUAGAUGAAUUUAACUGGGAAAUCUCAUAAAGAUGGACAAAAAUGAUGGGUGCAUGUUUUAAGGAAAACAUUGUUGAGGCGGUUUUCCUUUAUUCACCUACAAAUUGGGGACUUCAAUUGAGUUGGUCGGCUGAUGAUUAGGUGUCUGCUUCUUUCUUUGAACUUGAUUUCAGCUGAGACUCAAAUAUGUUUGGCAAUUUUACAACAAUGUUGAACAUUUCUCUAAGAGGAAGAUUAAGUUUCAAAAAGUUGGAGUUGCAAUUCUUUUUGUGAUUUCUGUAGGUGUCAUUAGUCCUAGGGAUGAUAGAUUUAUAUAAUCCAGCCUUCAUCUCAUAUACACACUAUAAAGAUAAAAAAGGAUUGUAGUGUGAUGAUGCAUGACUCAUACGACAGCAUUCAGUGACCUCCCAUCUUGAAUCUGAAUGCUUCUCAAGACUAUUAACACCGCACCACAGGUGAAAGAGCCUUGGGGAGACUCUUCCCCAACAGACUGCUUUGUGAGUUCCUUUGAAUCCAUCUGAAUGAUAAAGGUGCUCAACUGCAAAAUUGUGUCGUCUGUUAAUCCUUAGAAAUGGAGCAUCUGUUGUUCUUAUCAGUUCAAUUAAAGUUUUUUUUUUUCAACAUACUAAUCUAGAUCCCUUACCAGGUGGGUUUAACUUCUCCCUUUUCAUCUGUUUGCAGGUAAUGUAUAGCUGACUGUUACAUGGAAUCUGAGGGGUAUUUUAUCACCAUACCUCGUCUAAUGAAGUGUAAAUCUACAGAGGAAGGCGGUCUAAUAACCCAAUGUUAUGUGUGAUCUGUAUUCUCUCUCUGUUGUUUUCUGCAGCAAUGGGGAAGGAACUCUUUGCUUUGUAAUGAUGCUCUUGUGAACUAGUUUCUAUCAUGUUUUUGGUUAAUAAAUUUCCAAGGUCAAGCUGCUUUUUUUCCCCCCCUUUUUUUCUCUAUUGCAUUUUAAUUGCCAGACUGCAGCCACUGCAAGGCCAUCAAACUGCCAAUUAUCAUCAUUGUGGGAAAAUAUUCAAAGUCUUGUUGUGUCCUUCACUUCAUCUAGAUGAGCAUCUUUCACACGUUUGUAAGGGUCCAGCUCCAUCUUACCAACAUUUAUCCCAUCAUUCUAACCCGGUGGGUGCAUUCGAGCAAGACCAUGAUUUUCUCAUUAGACCCAAUUCUUUGGCAGAUGAUUGGAUACUGAAAAUUCUUUAAAGGGAUUUUCGAUUUUGGGUUAUAAAAUUGUAUAUAAAAUUUGAGAUAAUUCUUACUUAAAGAUAAGGAAUACAUUGCCCACUGUGGGUGUGCUUCCUUUGUCCUCAGGCUGCUUGUCAAUUAGCCCACUAGAUGGUUCUAUGCUUAUAUUAAGCAUAUGCUAUUGUAGUAGUCAAGAGUCAAGACACGUUUCUUUUGGUUUUUUUAUUUUUUUUAUUUUUUAUUUAAUAUAUAUUUCAUUUUCAUUUUACAUCAUGUGGGCGGUGGACAAAAGCAAAGCGAUAUGGAUGAUGGAUUCCAAUAUUUAUAUCCACGGAAGCAACACGGCACGGACUCUAUCUGUUGGAUCUGGACUGUGACACGGACACCCAGGCUGCCACUCGUGUUGUACAAGCAAAAAUCCAACAUGCAGUCACACCCACACACUUGGAAACAAGCUCUGCCAAACCCUUCUCUUUUUUUUUUUUCACUGUUUGCCACAUCUUCAACAUUCUGAUCAAACUCCCCUUGAAUGAAGCUUCCUCAAUCAACUUCCAAGAAGACCCACAAGUCAGACAAUGACCAGACUUGAGGCCCUCAAUGAGGGAAAGUGAGAAACUUCUCUGCUUCCACCUAGAGCACCUUUGGUUUUACUUUUAUUUUGCCCUGCACCACACAUGACACCAUUCAUUUGAAUAUUUUGUUAUCCAUGUGGAUCUAAGUUGGAUGAGCUGAAAAGUCAGAGAGGUCGGCUUCCCCUUUUAUAUAAGAGACUUUGCAUGGAACAAUUUUCAUUCACUUCUCUCCGAUCCAAUCAGCCUUACAAAAUCAAUUAGUCUAGCUAAUCUUCAGCCAUGGCCUUUGAGAGCAGCUUAGCAGACAUGGUGUUGAAGGUGGGCAUGUUUGUUCUUGUCCAAGCUUUGGUUUAUCUGAUCCUUUCCAAGUCUUCCAACAUCUUCUCCAAGAACCCGAAGAGAUCUCACAGGUUCAAACCAGCCCGGUCUGUCAGUAUUCGUCGAGUUCUUGCUUGUCUUGCUGACCUACCCCCUGGAGGCGAACUCUCUCCUUCUCCUUCUCCAAAGGGCCCUCAGUUGCUUCCCCCACAAAAUUCAGCAACUGACCCUCAGACUCCCACAUCUUAAGAGACUUCCAUGCAUGGAUUUGUAGCAGAGCAGAAGAUUGCUGAUGGCUUGGCUUCUUGUGAUAGAUUUUAGACGUGACUUGAAUUUGAUAUUUAUCUGAAUUUAAGUUAUUCUUUUGUUUUGUAAAUUUGGUAGUCAAUCUAAAUACCAUAUUAUAGUUUUGAAAAUUUUACUUAUUAAGACUAGUUGUAUGCUUUAAGGUAGUUGAAUUUCAAUGAUCCUUUUGAUGUUUUGGGGAAACCACCCAUAUCCAGCCUCUGUAUUCCCUUGUGCUUUGUAAUGGUAAACAUUCACAAUCUUGUGGAACCCAUGUACUGUGAUUUGGUGCUUGGUCACUGGAGCUGUUUUCUUAACAGUCCUCAUAUGAGAUGAAACCUCUUCCAAAUCAUGGAUGCCACUGCUUGUUUUUAUUGAUAUCUAGAUGAGGGCCACACCUAACAUUACUUGAAACAGCAAGCAUGAAUGAUUGGUUUCGUACUUAUGCAUCUUCAUCUCCCUUACACCAACUUUUUGCAGCUAACAAGUGACCCUCAAUCUAUAUUCUAACCACAAUGGAGCCCUUACGGGGUCCCCUCAUGAUUUUCUGGUCUACAUCUACAAGUAACCUCAUUGCUAUUGUGGUAUAGAUUUCAUAUUCACAGCAUUUUCUGCACCUAAUGGUCCAGACUCCAGAAACACGUCAAUCGAGUUUAUUAAAGCUAUUAAUGCAAUGCAAUAAUGUGCCUAAUCCUAAGGUUAACACUUGAUACAAAUAUAGUUUUCCAUUAGGAGGCGGCACAGUCCACAGGAGCAAAAGAAAUGAACCCAGCAUCAAGGUCAUAUCCAACAUAAUAGUUCAUUUGCUGAAAGCUUCCAAGCAGGGACAUCUCUUCAAGCCCUUCAGAAGGUAGCAUUGCAAGGCACCAUAGCCCCUCUUGUGCUUCUAUGUAUGUAGUCUGCUUUGUUAGCAUGACAUCUGCACCAUCAAAAUGGAAAGUUAUGUCGGGUCCUGCAGCAUCCAGUUCAUCAAAACUCCCCUCGAAGCACAUCCUGUAGCGUCCAGAGUUAUAUUGUUUUCCUGGUAAACGUAUUACUUUGCUCAACAUAUAGACUAAAAGAUUGAAUGCUUCAGACCUUAAUACCGUGAAUUCUGAGCCAGAAUCAACUAUAAAUCCUCCUCCCUCUGAGGUCAUAUCAAAUAUCCCAUCUGGGAAGGGGGCCUUUUCGUCUCCAACACUGAUUCCCAGAAGAGUGACAUAGUAAUAGAUAUGCUCUCCUUGUAGAAAUGGAGUUUGUCCACCCAUGAGCACUGAGAGCGAUCCGAAAUACAUUCUGCUUCCCGAUCCUUGAUCAUCACGUAUCACCAUGCAGUAGGAGAACUUCUUUAUUUUCAACUGUGAGACUAAAGAGUGUGGAUCCCGGUUAAGGCCUACAACACCAGCUUCGUAGCCUUUAAAAGUCCCAAUUGUAUAAUCGGAGCAGCCAAACACCAAGUGGCCAACAUCAACCUUAUUCUGGUUAGAGUCUUCAAAGGCAAAUGCAUCACUUGAAAGAGUUCCUCCAGUUGAAGUACCACCAUCACCAUAUUCUAUCAUAUAGCAACAAUCUUUUUCAUCACUACCGCAGGGAAAUGCCCAGGUCUCCUCACAGGCUGGAGAAUCAGACGGUACUGUGUUGUAGGUGGAAGAUUUGGAGGGGUCGAAAAUAGGUGACGUUUGUUCGAAACACUUUCUGCAUGGAAGGCACUGAUGCCAUAUGAGUCCACUUCCUGUGUCAGGAACGGCAUAUAUUAGAUGAGGGGGGCUUCCCACAUUGUACAUCAUUAUAUAGCUGAAUCCCUCAGGAAUCAAUUUUGGGGACAAAUCUUCAACCAAGGAUUGGGACGUAUGUGAGUUGAGGUACCUGAGACGGGCUAUGGAGCGGUUAGCUGCCAGAAUGGCCCGAUCACUGGUGCUCAAAUUGGGGUCAUAAAAGGGGGAUGAAGGAGAGUCACGGUGGAUCAGAUGUACCACAAAACCGUCACUAAUAGUACUAAUAUUGUCGUGAUGGGGUGUGGUUGGAGGAAUGAGGAUACUUGAUAUUAGAAAGAUUACAGCUCUGAGGAAGAAAGAGGCAGCACCCAUGAUCAACUGAGACAAAUAAUGUGAUGUCUGGGCGCAUCCUUUCUAUGGGAACAAGGGUGUAUUUGAUCAUACUGGGACUAUAUGUACCAGUUAAUAGCCAGCAUUCCAGGAGGGUAAAAAUCACAGAAAGAUUGAGUUUAGUCACUAUGUACAUUCACACCCUUGAAAUAUAUACUUUCUCAUUACUCAUUCACUUGCCAUGACUACUAUUUUUUAUGUUUUGGUGAACUGAUUAUUCUGAUUACUAAUCUUAGAUUCAAUGCUUCUCAAGAAAAGGCUCGAAGUCUAUACUAGAAAUUGGCACAAUCCACUGGAGAAAAAGAAACCACCUGAGCUUCAAGGUCAUAUCCAACAUAAUAGUUCUGCUGCUGAAUAUUUCCAAGUAUAGAGACUUUCCAAAGGCUAUUAGACGAAAGCAUGGCCAGGCACCAUAGCCCCUUUUUCCCUUCCACAUAUGUAGUCUGCCUGGUCUGCUUCUGCUUGGCCAUUGGGAAAACAGGGAGAAGAGAAUGAGUUGCGUACACCAUAUUUUGAGCAGAACUGUUUGAACUUUGCACUGUCAAAUUGAGGCUCAUUAUCAGAUAAAAUAGCAUGAGGAAUACUAAAUCGGCAUAAUAUGCUUUUCCACACAAACUUGAUGAGAUCGCUAUCCUUCUACUCGAUUAGUGAAAUAGUCGGUGGCAACAAGAAGGAAUUUCUUUUGAGAGGGUGUGGUUGGUAGAGGUCCGACUAUAUAUAUUCCCCAUAAAGAGAAAGGCCACGGGUUAAUCAUAGGGUUAAGUUCUUCGGUUGGUGUGUGUAUGAUAUUUCCGAACCUUUGACAUUGAUCACAUUGAUUACUAGACGAGUUUCUAGUACGACAAUGACAAUGUCUAAUGUAGUCUAUUCCUCUUGAUACGACUUACACUCCUUUACAUAGAACCUCAACUUCUUAGCUUGCACCAUGCUUUCAACUAGGUGUUUUUGAAGUUUUGACAAUCAUCCAUGGAAUGGUCAUUGUCUUGAUUAUAGUUGCAAAAGCAUGAUCAACCAAUCGCAUUAUUUGAGUCCCUCCUCAUAGAUUAUGACUAGGUGAAUCCUUCCAUUCCCUCGAUCACGGGAAGGAGGCGAGAAUAAGACAUGGUAUGAUAGUUACAAGAGCAUGAUCAAUAGAUCGCAUUAUUUGAGUCCCUUCUCAUAGAUUAUGACUAGGUGAAUCCUUCCAUUCCCUCGAUCACCGGAAGGAGACGAGAAUAAGACAUGGUAUGAUAGUUACAAAAGCAUGAUCAAUAGAUCGCAUUAUUUGAGUCCCUUCUCAUAGAUUAUGACUAGGUGAAUCCUUCCAUUCCCUCGAUCACUGGAAGGAGGCGAGAAUAAGACAUGGUAAGGGCAGUAUAAGGGCGUCCUCGGUCGAAUCCUCAUUCAUAGUUUGUUCGUCUUCACUGGUUCUGUUGAGAAAAAGUUUUGUCCCUCCAUCGAUUGGUAGAGUCCCUUGUGUGGCGAUGACCUUCAUCCUAGGUUAAGGCCACCUUGCUUUGUUGCAACACGAAGGUCAUCUUCCAACAUUGAGUAUUUGUUAGCCCUUUGGAACAGUUCGUCUAUAAACCCGAGAGGAUUUAGAGAUAUGGAAUGGGAAAAUGGAGUAUUUGGAAAGAUGGCCUGCAUAACCGUGUCCAUGCUGACCCUAUCCAGUUAAAAUAUUGCUCCCUCAAAUCUUUUCAUGAAACUAUGGAUAAACUCUCAUCGCUCCAUUUUCACAUGAAAUAAACGAGCAACGGCUUGCUUCCGUCUCAUGAACACAAAUACUGGUUGGCAAAGAUUUCAGAUAACCCACGAAAUGAAUUGAUCCAGUUAAUCGAUAGUCGGGGAACCAAGAGAAAAGGCCCCUACAAACUUGACAGAAACACUUUACAUAAUAAAGGAUCAUUUUUGCUUUUAAGAGUCAUUACUUGGCGAAAGAGCAUCAAGUGAUUGAAGGGAUCUCCAAAUAUUCCAUUAUACAUGUUUGAAUUUGAGCAUUAAGAAAUGUUGUGGUGCCUCUUACCUUAGGAUGUUGUGCAUGAACGACAUGGUCGUCGUGUUGUUCAAGAUUCCAAAAGGUUGUGUUCUGGGUCCAUAUUGGUCGAUUUGUGAGACGAAAAGGGAUAUACCAUAAGACUCACAUGACAGUCCACAUCAAGCUGUCCUCAACCUGGCCAUUGCUAGAAUGUGAACUAGUUUUUUUUUUUUUCUUGCGAGCGAAGGAACCAUGUUGAGUUCCUCUUUUUCAGGGUGGGGAUUGGGUGUGGCACCAACACCGGUUCAUCAGUAGGUGUGGCCAGUUGGAGAGGAGGCUAUAAUCUACCGAUUAACUUAGAAUCAAUGUGUAUUGAGGGUUCCGAGCUACUACAACAACAUUGAGUAUCCGAUUUCCCCAUUGCAAAGCUUCAGUAGCGGAGAUGAAGGCCUCUAUUUGCUUGCAAUGCUCAUCUUACUGCUCUUUCCACUGUCUUGCCAUUAGGGCCAUCCACUCCUCCAUCGCUAGGUGCUAUUCUCUCAAUUGAUCCACCGACACUACCAAAUGUAAUGUCUCUAAAAAAUUCUUUAUACGCAAACCACCAUUAUAUACUCAUCGUGAUUCGUUUUUAUUGGUCACUUUUCCUAUCAAAGGAUAAAACCUCUCGCCUCUUCUGUGGAAACAUCCUUAGGAAGGUCAAAUCCAUAUAAGAGGACUAGUAUUAGCCCCUUGACAUACACGAACCAUGCAGCACUAAGGCUUCAUGAAGAAACACUAAGGCUUCAUGGGGCGGCACCUUGGUCUCAUGAGUGACAUGACAAUAACAAGGUGACACAAGGGAGCAAUGCCUUGCGGAAGGAGAUGACUUGGUGAGCCAUGGGCACAAUGCAAUACACAAAGGAGCAAUGUCGCGGAUGCAGCAGCAUGUUGCCUUGACAUGGAUGCAAUCUGAACAUUUAGGCCAAAAGAAAGCAUGACAUGCACACCAACCACAUAUAUAGAUGCAUGCCACAACAACAUGAAGAGUUGGACUCAAAGUGGGAUUGCAAGCUAAGCACGAGAAGGAGUCUUGAUGUCUAUUGUAAUUGUAGUCAGUGGGACUAGGACUCUAAGUCCUAGUAGGAGUGGGUGUACCAAAACCUAUUAGUAAGAGUCCUAGUAGAACUAGGAUGUGUACUCCUAGUCUGAUAAGGAGUGGCUGGUGACCACUCUAUAAAAGGAGGACCGAGCCUCCUUGACAAGGAGUGAGAUCUAGAGAGGGAGAUGUGAGGGAAACUUAAUCUCAUUGAGAUUAUUGUGGGAGUGUGGCCCAAAUCUUGUAUGCUUAUUCAGUUAUCUAAUAAAAUAAGUUGGGGUUGGUGCCCUAUAAGUCUCACGUGUGCCUUUGUGUGUUGUUGUCAUAUCUUGUGGGAAAGAUAUAAUGUGGACCCAUAUAGUGUAGACCUAUAUUUUUUAUGUGCGUCCCCAUUCAAUGACAAGACUCAUUUUUAUUAGUAAAACAUUAGUUUUAAAAAAAUUGGAGUCGCUACUUAUUUUAUUUUAUUUUAAAAGGGAAAAUAAAACAAAAAAGAAAAUCUUAAAGAAGUGAUUUCAUAGUUUUGGAAAAGUAAGUCUUGAAAAACCCGAGUCUUAGUUCGGGGAUCAGGUUACCUAUUGGAAAGGUACAUCUAAGAGGUAACACCCCUCUAAGCCCUAAAAAAGUCUUUAUUGACUAAGUUGAGGGAAAAGUGACAAUUAAUCAAUUAAUUGAAGGUACCUAAAUAGGCUAAGGUGAUUUUAGAACUAGUAUGCCAAAAAAGAAAUCAAAUCACAAUCGCAAAGGAGGGUUUGGAUGUGUAUCUAGACUGCCUCUUAAGCGCUAUCAUAAGACAUUAAAAUUAGCACAGAAAUAUAGCACAUGCAUGACAUGUAUUUAAUUAGAACAAAUUGAACAUACAUCUAAGCACCAAAGGAUUACAUCAAACAUAGAUAUAGAUAUGACUCACAACAACAUGCAUGUUCAUAAAAUUCCAAAAAGUAGGUGAUAGAGAGUGUACCUAGAUAAUAUGCAUAAUUGAUAAGAUUCCUCCGAAAAUGUUAGGGUGGUUAGGACAAGUAUAAAUUACAUAACAUCUUCAUUAUGUCUAAUAUGCAGUACCAAAGUCAAAAUUGAGUCAAGUUAAGUCAAAUGACUCAAAAAAAUAACAAUAAUUUCAAGUAAAGUACAAGAUCAUCAGCAUGCAAUUAGAAAAGGGAGCAUCACAAAAUAAUUUCUAAAAAAAAUGUCUUGGAGUGGAAUUUAAUUACGAAAAAUUUCAGGAAACAACACUUACACUUUUAGAACAACAUAUCAAAAACCGCACUCAUUCAAAUGACAAAUUGCAGCAAAGACAUCCAAAAGUUCUACAAAGUCUAGAUUAUGUAAAAAAAAAUAAUGACAUGCAUAAACGAAUUUUUAAAAAAAUAAUAAGAGAUCACAUAAAAUCAUACAAAAAAUCACACACAUUUUUCAAAGUGUUUGUAUCACAUAAAAAAUGAAUCCAAGUUAGAUAGUACUCAAAAAUAUUUUUAAAACACUUCAGUUAAUCAGAUAUUCAGAAUCCAUCACGUGCCGUAGGUACGAAUUUGAAAAAUCAUAUCUCCCUCAAAAAAACAUAUUUUUUAAUAUUUUAUAUGUCUAAAAUCAAUUUCAGGAAGUGUAGAAUUAAAGAAAAAUAUUAAAUCAAAUUUAAAAAGUCAUCUGUUAUUAAAUUUUUACAAAAAGAUUUCGGGUUUCCAGGGUGAAAAUAGAGCCCUUAAUACCCUGAAGUGUCUAGAGUUACAUUGUUUUCCUGGUAGACGUAUCACACUGCUCAACGUAUUGACUAAAAGAUCGAAUGCUUCAGACCUUAAUAUCGUCAAUGAUGAGCCAGAAUCAACUACAAAUCCUCCCCCCUCUGAGGUCCAAUUGAAUAUCCCAUAAGGGGACCUUUUCUUCUCCAACACUGAUCCCCAGAUGAGUGACAUAAUAGAGCUUCACUCCUUGCAGAAAUGGGGUUAGCCCACCCAUGAGCACUGAGAGCGAUCCAAAAUACAUUCUGCUUCCUGAUCUUCGGUCAUCACGUAUAACCAUGCAGUAGGCGAACUUCUUUAUUUUCAACUAUGAGACUAAAGAGAGUGAAUCCUGGUUAAGGCCUACAAUGCCAACUUCAUAGCCUUUAAAAGUCCCAGUUGUAUAAUCUGAGCAGCCAAACACCAAGUGACAAACAUCAACCAUAUUCUGCCUAUUGUCUUCAAAGGCAAAUGCAUCAAUUGAAAUUGUUCCUUCAGUUGAUGUACUGCCACUACCAUAUGAUAUCCUAUAGCAACAAUCUUCUUCAUCAAUAUGGCAGGCAUAUCCCCCGGCCUGGUAACAGGUUGGAGCAUCCCAUGGUACUGUGCUGUAGGUGGAAGAUUUGGAGGGGUCGAAAACAGGUGGUGUUUGGUUGAAACACUGUGCCACUUCCUGCAUAUGUCAGCAAUGGCAUAUACCAGACUAGGCGGGGUUCCCACGUUGUACAUCAUUACAUAGGUGAAUUCCUCAGGAAUCAAUUUUGAGGAUAAAUCUUCAACCAAUGAUUGGGAGGUGAGUGAGUUGAGGUAAUUGGGACGGGCAAUGGAGCGAUUAGCUGCCAGUAUGGCACGAUCGCUGACGCUCAAAUUGGGGUCAUAAAAGGGGGAUAAAGCAGAGUCUCGGUGGAUCAGACGUACAACAAAACCAUCGCUAAUAGUACUAAUAUUGUCAUGAUGGGGUGUGGUUGGAGGAAUGAAGAUAUUGAUGUGAGAAAGAUCACAGAUCUGAGGAAGAAAGAGGCAGCAGCCAUGAUCAACUGAGACAAAAAAUGUGAUGUGUGUAUCCUUUCUUCAGGAACAACGGUGUAUUUAAUUAUUCUUAUACCAUAUGAGCCAGUUAAUAGCCAGCAUUCCAAGAGUGUAGAAAUCACAGAAAGAUUUGGUUUAGUCACUAUGUACAUUCAUACCCUUAAAAUAUAUAAUUUCUUAUUACUCAUUCACUUGCCAUGACUACUAUUUUUGAGCUUAUACAAAAGAAGUUUAUACUAGAAAGUGGCACAAUCCACUGGAGCAAAAGAAACCACCUGAGCUUCAAGGUCAUAUCCAACAUGAUAGUUCUGCUGCUGAAUAUUUCCAAGUAUAGAGAGUUUCCGAGUGCUAUUAGACGAAAGCAUGGCCAGGCACCAUAGCCCCUUCUCCACUUCCACAUAUGUGGUCCGCUUGGUCAGUAUGAAGUCUGCACCAUAAAAAUGGAAAGUUAUAUCUGGCCCUGCUGAGGCCAAUUCAUCAGAUCUCCCCUCAAAGCAUAUUCCAAAUCUCCUGUAUUUCCUCCAAGGUAAAUGUAUGGCAUUGCUCAAUGUAUUGACUAAAGAAUUGUAUGCUUCAGACCUUAAUACUGUGUAUGUUGUGCCAGAAUCAAUUAUAAAUCCUCCUGUCCCAGUUGAGUUUAUAUUGAAUAUCCCCUCUGGGAGGGGUACCUUUUCUUCACCAACACUGAUGCCCUUGAGAGUGACAAAGUAGUGGCUGUAGUCCCCCUUCAGCAAUGGAGUUUUUCCACCAAGAAUGACUGCCCUUGAUCCAAAGUACAUUCGACUUCCUGAUCCAUGAUCAUCAGGUAUCACCAUGCAGUAUGAGAACUUUUUAACUUUCAGCUGUGAGACUAGCGAAUUGGGAUGCCGGUUAAGGCCUACGACACCAGCUUGGUGCCCCUUAAGGCGCGCCUUGGUGUCAUGGGAACAGCCGAAGGUCAAGUAGCCAACCUCAACGAUAGUUCUUGUGGGGUCUUCAAAAGCAAAUACAUCAGUUGAGAGAGUUCCUUUUGUUGUUGUGCCAUCACCAUAGGUGUGCUGAUAGCAACAACUUUUGUCACCUUCCCUGCAGGAAAUUCUCCUGACAGCAUUGCAAAUUGGGGAAUCACUUGAUACUGUUUCAUAAGUGUAAGACUCAGCUGGGUCAAAAAUAGGCGGUGUUUGGUUGUAACAAUGUGUGCAUGGAAGGCAUUGGAGCCAUAUGAGUUCACUUCCAGUAUCUGCAAUGCCAUAUACUAGAGUAGAGGGGACACCCAGAUAGUACAUCAUUAUGUAUUCAUAGUACUCAGGAACUAAUUUGGAUGAGAUAUCACCUAGCGAGGAUGAGGAUGAGGUGACUGAGAGCAGGUAAUUGAGGCGAGCAAUAGAGCGGUCAGCUGCCCAUAUGGAGCGAUCAGUGCUAGUCAUGUUGUGGUCAUAGAAAGGGGAAGAAGGUGAGUCAUGGUGGAUCAGAUCGACGACAAAACCAUCACUUGUAGUGCUGUUAAUGUCAUUGUGAGCUGUGGAUGGAGGAAUGAAGAUGCUUGAUGAGAAGCAGCUUACAACAAGGAAAAAAGAGGCAGUAGCCAUAGCUAAAACCGAAAAAAAUUGAACUACAAACCUAGAACUAGUCCAUUUAGAAGAAGAAUGUAACUGUGGAGGAAACAUGUAAAAUCUCAUGUGAAUGAAGGCCAAGUUUUCACUAUACUCGACAAUAAAAAGACAGAGUAUCCUUUAAUUUCACUUCAAAUAAUACUAUUUUUGGCAUUAAUUGCUUAGGCGUUUAUAUCUUGAAAUGGAACUUCCAAUUAAACCUGCACCUUUGUGACUUCCACUGCUGAAUCACUAAUUAGUACUUAUCUUGCAAGUUUGCAACAGCAAUUUGUGACUACUUUUGGGGCUUGCCCAGAAAUUGAUACUAUCAUAGGCUGUACAAAUUUCAUUCUUAGCAAUGAACUAAAUUAAGGAAGAUUAUUCCGACAUCACGAGGAUUUGUCCAUACUACUAAUGGUUUGUAGGAAGCUAGAAACAACUCAUACUAGGCAAAGGAAUAGUGGGCAAAUGGCCUUGAUGAGAGUGACUUAUACCGGCUCUGCAGGAGUUUAUUCCUCAAAAUCCAUGUGAAAACCAUUAAAAACCAAUCUUUAGAGAUGAUUAACCAGUUGUGUAAACAAUCUAGAAUUCAAACAGAUUAAUUUAUAGCAAAAUUGGUCUUUAGAAUGACCUGAACAAUUUCUUAUCCCCCACUUCACUAGAAACAUGCUUAAUAUAUUACACCAUCCACCAAGAAUAUAUUCCUAACAGCCUUAAUUAAGCUUCUAAUUAUGAUCAUUUCUACUAACUUUUGACAUUUCAAUCACUAUUAGAACAGAUUCUAUUGCCCACAAGAUUACAAAGAAGUUUCCUCCAAACCUAGAUUACCUUAGUACCCUUCAAUAUUGAACAAUAUUAAAAUAACCCUAGUAUUUUUUCUGUAGAAUUUCAAAUCUGAAACUAGUUACUGAUAUUUUUCCUGUCAUUGACUUGAGAUAUUGCCCGAAAGUCGUAUUAGAAGCCUUAGUUCUUGUAAUAAAUUAAGGUCAACAAGCCGGUGUUACAACUCAACAAUCUGAUACAAUGACUAGAGUUUUCCUCUUGGCAAUUAUUUUCGUCAACUGGUUUAUUGAUAUUACAAAAGCAUGUCAGCAUCAGUGGUUAGGCUAAAGCAAUCAGGCAUUACUUAAUGUGAAUCAAGACUUCUAAUUAAGAAUUUCACAUUUCCAUUAGUAUUAAUAUAAAGCUACCUGUCCGUACCACAAACAGUGGUUGAAUAAAGUUUUGAAUCCAGAAAUGGCUUCCACAGAUUGAUUUAAUUUUUUAUUUAUCAUCUUAUCCUCAAUUAUUGUUUAUGUGGGUGUGCAAUAAAAAAGUGGUUCAACAAGAGAUACAGGUGGUAUUUGUUUUUUUAACUUUUUGCUGAAAACAAUUUAGCUUUAGAAUUUAGGUUGUUUGUUUUUCUACUUUUUCAUGACUUAUUAUAAACUUUUUACUAAAUAGAAAAAGCCAAAAUAUGUAGCUUUUUCUAAAUAGAAAAAAUAACAUAUUGAUUUUUUAUAUUUUUUAAUAUUUAAUAGAAAUAAAAUACUACAAAAACAAACAAUCUAAUAUUUAACACUAUUAAGCAUUAAUGUUCUAUUUAGAAUUAAGUAAAAAAACAAACACCAUCAUAGUCAACUUGUUAACUUUAAAAUCAACCGAUAACCAGGCGGAUAUGCAAGCAAAUGAGCUUCCAAGAUACUGUAACAGGUCUAAUAUGGAGGGUUCAUAAUUGAUCUAGAACUGUUGUCUAUUCUGUUACUUGGAACCAGCCACAAUGGUUGGUGAUUAGUACUGGCCUUCUCCCUUUCCGAUGGUUUUGGAUCAAUUCUAUUAUGAUAAUAAAGAAAAGAACCUCCACUUUGUGCUUGCAAUUCAAGAAUUUCUACAUAUUCACUAGAGAAUUUGAAAAUAUACAUCGAAAUUCAAAUCCAGACCUUCCAUUCUCAACUACCCAGCCAGAAUCUUCUGAGUCCUUAGCAACUUGUCUGCAGUUGAUAUUUUUUUGUGGACUUCUUGCUGAGAUGGUAUAUGGCUCUUUCCUUCCUACUCCUUUCAUCAAGCUGACCAAGAUAAGGAUUCAUGUGGAUGUAUGUAUGUCCAACCAGACAUAUGAUCAUAGCAAUCACCCCUUGCCCUUACCUAGAGUCAUAUUACCGCAAACUAAGCCAGCCUUGCCGGCAAGUUGGGAAUAUUGAUAGUUUGACUUCUCUUAAAUAGGGAGAGAGGAAUGGAUUAAGCAGCUGACUUCGAACCUAAAAAAAUGGAGAAUAGUGGUCAACUUCCAAGUUGCUGGUAAUUAAGAUGAUGAACAUUGGAUUAUCCUUACCAUAACAUUUACUUAUUCCAUCUAUGUAUGCAUAAUAGUAAUAUAAUUAAUGAUCAUAUUAUAUGCAAGUUUUGGUCAUUAUAUCACGCAGCAAUAUGUAACCAAAGUCUAUGAGAGAGAGCAUAUAGGUCAAUAUAUUUAACUUGGAGAGGAUGAUCUCCCCCUCUUGCCCAUUGAAGUUCUAUUCCUUCAUUGACUUUUGGCAGACUAGGAUCAGUACUCCAAUGUAUGCUACUCUGGCCUCCAAAAGGCACAGUUUGUUUUUUAUAUUCAAAUUUGCAAUGUUGUCUUCCCAUCAACCAGCUGAUCAUUUAUGACCUUUCUGAUCUUCUAUUUAAGCGCAGACCUUUUUCUAUCUUCCACAGAUAAAGCCAACUACUUUCUCUUUCUCAGAGUGGAUCGGAAGAGGAGAUGAAGGCACGCUCUUGUCCUCCUAUCUCAGGCCCAUCUCCAUGUAGUCUAGCCAUGAACAAAGAUUCACAUGAAAUAUCAAAAUUCAAGCCAAAGAUUCGCAUAAUUCACGUAUUUGCACCAGAAAUCAUACAGACAGAUGCUGCAAAUUUUCGCGACCUUGUACAGAGGCUCACUGGAAAACCUGCAGCAAAUUUUAGAGGCCGUAAGAAGAAAAGAAGCAUGAGAAGCAAAGACGUACUGAAGACAUUGAUCCACCAUGAAUCGAGCAAGACCAUGGAAUUGCCUGAGGAGUUUCCAUGUUUGAAAAAUGGGGAGAGAGUUAAGCAGGAGCAAGAAAAGAUGUGGAGAGAUGAGAAUUCAAAUGGGUUCUUUGGUGGGUUUGCUGAUUUGGAUGGUUUCAUGCAAGAGUUAAGUCAAUUUCCCCUACUUCCUUUUGAAUCCUCUAGGAUGGAUGUGUUCCAGGAGAUGCCACUUGCUUAGCUGUAGAUUGGGAUGAUAAUAUCAAUAAAGGAUUGGAUUUCUCUUGCUCCUUUUUUAUGAUGUUUUCUACCUUCUUUGAUGUAAAGGAAUGGAAACUAUUGUCAUAGUUACAGUAAAUUUCUUUCUUCCCUGCACUGAGCUAUUGAAUUUUCAUAGGAUUAAUGCUUCUGCAUAUUGCUGCUUUAGUAUGACUAUAUUCAUUUCUGCUUCCAAUUUGAUUGUAAUUUUUGUAUUCCAUAAGGAGUUCUCUGUCUCACUCACAUACAAGGGCAGAUAAUGAUUCAAGGACUCAAAUACUCCACCCAGAUCCAAUGUAUGUGAUGGUAUUUAGAGCCUUAUACCCCAAACUCUCUGCAAAGAUUGGAGGAUUCAUGCUGUUUGCAUUUUCACUUCCUCAAAAUAUCUGAAUGGUGAAAGCAAACUACACUAUUAACUGCUGUGCUGCAAUAAUGCUAGGUUUAAGCCCCGGGAUGGAUCAUCCAAAUGAUGGUAAUGUCAAAUGUCAAAAAAGGUUUAGCCUACCCUUGCUGGACACCAAUACCAUUUAGUUUUCAUAUGAGAUGUUAAAAGUCCAAUCCAACAGUAACUCGCAAGCAAGACAGAGAUGAAAGGUCUUCUACCUUGUUUACUGGUAAUCAUGGCAGACAGAUUGACAAUUAAAUUGAGUCUCUAGGGUAAUGGUGUUAAAAUAAGAGAUCUUUAUAUUCUGAGCUUAUCAAAUGAAUACUAAGCUGCACAUGCCCAUUAUCAGUUUGCAAUUUCAAUUUCUUCCCAUUAAUAUUGGUGGUCUUAAACUAUAUGAUUGCCCAACCUAUUCUGUCAUCAACAGUCAUGGCUUGUUUUUUUCUUCUUUUUCCAAAAAUGUGAUAAAUGAGGCAGAUGUUUCUGUCCUGCCCUUGACUCUCUCACAAGAAGACAUUAGGUUUGGAGUUUACUGAAAAAUAUCUUGGUUUCAUAUCCUAAUGAGAGUGUUAACCAUGUUUCAGAUUAAUUAGGGCUCAAAUCAAGUUUAAGACACUUCUCUCACACAGUUUCCAUAUUAUAGAGAAGAAAAUCCAAGUUUAGGGGGGGCUAAGUAUGAACAAUGACUUUUUAACCGCUUGAAGACGGCACCAAAGUCAAUUUUUAUUCUCAAAUUGCAAGUUCAAAAUCUCCACCAAAUUCACCAUGAAAACAAAAAUGUCCACUAAAGUGACCGGACCCUCCAACCUACCCCCCUGCAAAUUGAAAAUUUCAUUGAGAUCUGGCAAAACAGUUGCUAAUUAUAGAAAAAUAUCUUCUGUUUUCAUAAUUAAAAUAAUGAUAAUCAAUCUGCAUCAUUCCCCACAAAACAACCCAAUUGAAAACUAAUUAAAUUUGUCAUUUUUGCCCAUCAGUUGGUUUUUAAUUAGCUGUAGGUUCAAUGUCUCUGGUUACCUGGAAUUCAACCCUUUUUGGUAACUUGUCCAAUUUGCUCAAAUUACUGUAUUAGUAUUACUUAGACGAAAACCAUUAACCCCGAAUCAAAAUCAAGUUCUGUUCAGUUUUCUUCCUCUUCAUCUUUAGCCCUUCCAGUCCAGUGUCACAUAUUAUCAUAUUGUAGGGGUCCAUUCAAGUUUUCUAACUAAAGUUCUAUUUUUUAUAGUAAUGACUAAAGAAAAAUAGUGUGGAAAGGAAAGAUUACAAAGAGAGAACACUUUCUAAGAAAAGUUAAGCAUAAAUUGACUCAGAUUUCCUGUUGAAAGAAGGCCAACAAGAGGGAUUUUGGAAGAGAAAUAGAAGCUCCCUGAACAAACAGUAUAGCUGAGAAGGGAAGAAGAUGGGAAAGCUGACCUCUCUAUGUGAGCAGAGCACCAUUCUGUUGAAAUUUGGCUCUGCAUGUGUUAGUGAAGCAGGUUCACACUCACCUUCCCUUCAUUAAUAAAUCAGUCUACACUUUAAAGCUUGAUGACUUUCAUUUGUGUUAUUUAAAGGUAUAGUGAGAAAAGUGUCAACAUAACACCAACCUUUGAAAUAGCUGAGGUUUUAAUGAUCCAGAAACUACCUCCAAGUAUUCUAAGAUUAGCCACCGUCUCCUCUUCCAUUGGCUUGAAUCUUUAUCUUCCACAUUAAAAAUGAAGAAGUAUCUCUGCUGAUGUACAAGGGUGAUCAUUCUCUAUCAGCAGCAAAAGUAAAAUACAUAAUUUAAAAAAAAAAAAAAAAAACCACAUACCCACGCGCGCACACACACGUAUGAGAGAAAUGGCCUAGCAAAUGAUGGUCUCAUGAGCUGCAUCCAAAGGAACUGUAGACAUAGAAAUCUAACAAGACUCUCUUUGAAUUGAAAAAUGGCCCUUUAAUGUUCUCCCUGAAAGGGUACUGUUCAUGAGAACUUAGGCUGACCCAUAUUGUUGAAGUGACUAUAGUUUGUUAUAGAAAUCUCAUGAAUUGCAGAGGAGCCUGAAAAGGAAUAAGGCCAUCAAACCUUAAAAAUCUUGUAGGUGAUCAUGCUGUCUUAACUCUUAAGUACUAGACUUCAGUACAGAAUUUUGACCCUUCAAACUCCACAGAAUUUUACAGCAUUCCAACAUCUUAACCAUCCUAUUAUUGAAAAUCUCAUGAUGAUUCAAUGAAAGGAUUUCAAGCAAAGGCAUUUGCUGUUCAAUUUUGAGAAUUAAUAUGGAUAACAGUGCACCAUAUUUUUGAUAGCAAUCAAUGCAAUAGAAAAUAAACCACCAAUUUUCAAUCCAGAUUGUUUUUUUCCAUACAAAGAAUAGAUUGAUCCAUACAGAACCUCAGAGAAACGAAUCAGUUGUGCAACAGUCCUUCACUGUAUUAGCAAAGAAAUUGAUGAUAACCUUAUUGAGGAUACAACAUAAACAAGAGUUCCCGUAUAAAUGAACUUAAUGGGUUAACACCUCUGCAUGCACAUCACUUUCCAUCUGUAAAUGGUUACAAAUAAAACAUGGAUAAAGUGCAAAAGUAUCUUUCAUCCUUUGUGUGGCAGAUUUAAACUGAAUGAGAGAGAGAAACGGCUGCACUUCCUCUAUGCCCCAAGCAAGUAAAACUUCCUCCAUAUAAUCUGAAACGAAGACUAAUGAGAGUUAAUCAUCAAAGUAAGUUCCCCGCCAAAAUUUGAUUGUGAUGGAAGUUGUUGUAGACCUCAGAAGUUAGAAAUGCACCAUAAUUUACAGGGUUCUUGCAAAACCUUGUAUAACGGAAUUCACUUAAACAUGCAUUCAUCAAAUCUGGAGUCAUCUGAAAUGUAAAUACAAAUAUUUAUGGUUUUAAAAUGUUAAGUAAGAAAUGGACUUUGUUAAAGGGGAAAAGAACAAGGCAGCCCUUUAAGAAUGUAGUUUUACAUAUCUCAUUUAAUGGAUGCAGGACAAGUUUCUAGUUGGAGGAGAGAACCAAACCUUAGCCACCAAUAUGUAUCAUGGGCCUAUUUGCGGUCUUUGCAAUGUCAAACAUUCCAGCAUGAGAAGCUUUCUUCCUCUUGACCUGCAGCCAACAAGAACAAGAAAUAUGAAAAACGUAUUAGGCAAAGACCAGACAAGGACACUUGAAAGCUGAAGUGAAUUUCAGGGCAAUGAUCUUGGCCACCUAGCCAUGCAAUGUGGUACAUAAUUUGGUCAGAGGAGCCAAUCUAUCAGGAGCACCAACAGAGCCUCCAAUAAAACAAACCAUAACCUAUAAGAGUACAGGGAUGAUAUAAAAACAUGGAUGGGAAAAGAAGCUUUAUGCUAUGUUUGGUUGCAGGAAAGUACUAACAAAAGAAAAAAAAAAAUUAAUUUUCCUAUGUUAGUUUUACUAUAAAAAAAUACAAAACAAAGUCAAAUAUAAUUAAAAUUAGCUAGAAACUUAUGCAUUUUUAAAUUAUUUAAUCUUUAUAUAAAAGAAUUAAAAUAAUUUAAAUAAGUUUGAAGUAUCACACAAGAAUAAUUUAUUGACUUUAAAUUUAUUUUUUAUUUUCCUUUUACCUUUCCUCUCUAUUUACUCUCCUUCACAUUUUCCUUCAAAUUUUAUGGGAACCAAACAUAGCCUUUAAAAUUUUUGACACUCAAUGGUUAAAUGUCUGCAACUAAUAGCAUCAUGAGAAGACAGUAAGAUGGAUACCGCUGCCCCAAUUAUUUCACCAAGUUCAUGAUCAUCAACACCAGAACGAAGGGGAUCUCUUAAGCUAACCUGCAAAGGAUAAACACAAUCAAAACCAGCAAGGAAAGCAUUUUAAUUGAACAUUAAAUUGUAAAGGAAAAAGAUUAAACUGCUCCACAGAAACCCAUAUAACUUUAUCUCAUCUUAUUGCUCUACAUGAGAAGACUAAACGCAUUUAGUAAUGCAGCUUUAUCACAUUUUAUUGCUUUAGAAAAUGCUGCAGUUACUAGGAACUAUUUCAAGGCCCUCACCAGUUAAACAGGCCAAACAAAUUCCCUAGUUGUUCAGAAGAGAGAAUUCUUCAAGGCAUUAAUCCUCUAAUUUGCUUUGGAUUUGCAACUCAACAUAGAUGUUGAUUAAAAUAAAUGAGCAGCAAUACCAUUUGAUAAGCCGUCAAACUCUUCUUUAAGACUAACUGCUUUUGAGUCUUAAACCUACUUCUAAUAAUAAGAAUUCCAAAUUCAAACACAGGCACUCACACAUACACACAGACAAAAUUAGACAUGAUAUUUUUCAAAUACAAAGCCAUAUAUUUUACUCAACGAUGCAAAUUAUCUGUGGAUGCUUAAAGCUCCAAACAAAUGCUUAAAAAUACAAAGGUCUUAGGACAAGUGGCAUGAGCAUGAGAAGUUGUGCAAGAUCAACCGUACUUUGAAUGGGAUGGAUUGAGUGGAUAUGAUAUGGUGUUGUGUGAACAAGAAUAUCAAAUUAAAGAGUUUAAAAUAGUUGAAGGGUCUUCCAUAAUUCAUUAUAAGAAUAGCAGGCAAUCGAAAAACAAUUUACCAUAAACUAAGCAUUGCUAGAGAGAUGAUGGUGAGAUAAUUGAGAGCAAGACAAAGAAUCAAACUGAAAAAUGAAUCAUGUAUGAGAAAUUACACGUAACCCAACUGAAUACAAAAAGAACAAUUCAGUAGAGAUGGUUUGGUUUUUUAUCAGCAAGGACAAUGACUACGGCAGAUGGGAUGUGAUGUGGUCAGGCAUGACAAUGGGAAGGGGAAAAAGAACAUAGAUCAAGGUUGAGAAAAAUUAUGGAAGGCCAAUGGUUUAACAAAAGACAUGAAAAAUUUGAAGGAAAAAACAUUGCAGCCCUAAGUCGAGCAAAAAGGUAAAAACUGAUUUAUAUAUCCACAACCCUGUAGCUGGGAUAAGGUUUGCUGAAGUCGACUUAAGUUUUAUAAUAUCACAUACUUUGCUUGAAAGUGUCUUCUAGGAGUUUGGAGCUUAUAACAUAUCCAUAGGGAAGAAAUUCACAGCCUUAAAAACAAUUGAAAGUUAACAUCUUUUAUUAGCAUACCAGAAAAUUUGUUACUGCCCUGCUCUGCAUGCCAAAUUUACAUAAGCACAAUACAACUGUUCCAUGCUAAAUAUAGCAUUUAAAAAUGGCAAAUUAGAAUCCAUAAACCCAAAAACUAAUUAGAUUUAGCAAAUAUGAUAAAAGCAUAUGACAUCAAAACAUGAAGCAAUGACUUUCAUAUCUACGACUGCAGGGUUUCACCCAAUUGGAAACAACAAAAAAUCAAGUCAAAAUAAAUUGCAUAUUCAAGUUCUAGCAUGAAUUGAAGUACAAUAGUGAAGAAGAUAAUUCACCUCUGACGGACCAAACAGGCAUACUUUGAAGUUCCCAUCAGCUAAAAGUCGCAAUCUAUUGCAACCAGCACAAAAAUUCUUAGUCAUUGAUGUAAUAAAAGAAACAGUACCACAAUGCCCAUCAAUCGUAAAAUUCUUGGCAGUCUCUGUAGGAUGAUCUUGAAGUCUCUUUAGGCUUGUAAACUGUUUCACCUGUCCAGUAAUAAUGACUGAUUAUGAAAAUGUACAAAGGGUUAUUCAAAAUCUAUACAUGGGAUCACCUGUCAGAGUUCUACCUUACCACUCUAUCCAACAUUUCUGCAUAAGGUACAAGUUUCUUGACAUUCCAAACAUUUCCAUCAAAAGGCAUGAACUCAAUAAACCGAAUAUUAAUUGGUUUAUCACGAGUCAUCUCUACGAAAUCACAGAUCUCAUCAUCAUUGAACCCACGCAUUACAACACAGUUCACCUGAGACAGCGUACAGAAUGAAUGGAAGGAAAAUAUGUUUUAAUCUUGCAUUAUAAAAGACAAUGAAUAAGACCUAAUGAAUAAGACCUAAUAUUACUUUGGCAGAAAGAGAAACUAUCUAAAAGAACAGAUUUUAGCAAGGAAAGGCAUGCAAUCAUAAAUUGAAAAGACAAAACAUACCUUAACAGGAUUAUACCCAAGGUCUAUAGCUGUGUGAAUUGAUUCCAUAACCCUUUCAUGCCCUUUACGCCUGGUCAUGAAUUCAAAUUUUGCUGGAACCAAAGUAUCUAAACUAAUAUUCACCGAACUCAGUCCACAUUCUUUCAGCUUUGGAAGCUUUCUGGCAAGAGUAAUACCAUUGGUGGUUAUGGCCAGUGUCUUUAGUCCUUUCAGGCUGGACAAUUGUGAGCAUAUUUCUUCAAUAUCUUUCCUAAUGGUUGGCUCCCCACCAGUCAAACGAAUUUUAUCCACUCCAGAGCUGACAAAAAGAUUUGCCAAACGAACAAUCUCAUUCUGGGACAGAAGUUGAGGGUUAGGAGUAAGCUCCACACCCUCAGCUGGCAUACAGUACAUACACCGCAGAUUACAACGUUCUGUCAAGGAGAUCCUCAAGUAAGUGUGUCGCCUUCCAAAUGAAUCAACUAACAUAUCAGACACUGGAUUAUCUCUUGCUGGAGCUUCAGACAACUGAGCACAAGAAGUUGCAUAUGAUAACUUAUCAGAAGUAGGAUUAUCUUUUAUCAGAGAUUUAGAUAACCUUUCACAAGAAGUUGCAUAUGCUUGUGACAUGGUUCCAUCAAUAAAACUGCUUGUUAGACCUUGACAAUUGCCACUUCCUUGACAGAAAUAGGACUCACUUUCACAAUUGACCUGGAAAUAAAAUAUGAACAUUGUUAUAGUUCUAAGGGUGGAACAGCACUUGUUAGAAAGCAUACUAAUAAAAUUCAUAACCAAGGUAAAACAUCCAUGCCCAAUAGACUAGCAAAGCUACUUAACUCAACAGUGCAAACUUGAUAGGCCUUAUACUUGGGAAAAAAAAAAUGACUAUCUAAUAAAAUCAGUGACAGAUUGGUAAAGCACUCUUACGACAAGUCAAAGGACAAAAAAAAUGAUACAAUCUGUGGGCAUUUGUUUGUCUCUCUUUGAUGAAGGAUUCGAGCAAAAACUUUUGUUUUUCCUAUACCAUUCACGGAUGUUUUAACAUACAUAACAAUUGAAUAGUUGGGAUCGAUAGCUUGUGGAUUGCAUUCAAAAUAUAAUACCAACAAGGAUGGGUGCAACACAAGGCAAGAUCCAUGUAGCUGCCAAAUGGUUUGUCUAAGGCUUAGUCCAGAUAAGUAUAAUCAAAAUCAGAAUAUAUAAUUAUACUGGGUGCCAUAGGGAGCACGAAAUGUAGAUAAACCAAAGAAAAAGGGAAUUUCAACGUAACCCAAAUAGCAAACUCCCACACAGAGCAUAACAAAAGGAUUAACUAUAUUAUGGGUAUCAGAAAUUGGCACGUAAAUUAAAAAUGAUGAUCGAUAUAUCAAAAAGAUUAUAGCUACCAAUAGUGGUUUCCCAUAACCAUCGGACAAAAACUCAUUUCUUGGCUGAUCAAACCAUAUGGGACCAUGAAACAAAUUUACAAAAUUUACAGAACAAACUAUUUCAUCAAGUAAAUUCAUAAAGAGAAAAACAGAACCCACAGUCAUACCGAGAAAAAAUUAAGCUUUUUUAAGCCCAGACGCCACCCGGAAGUUUUGGAUGCAUAUCUCCUCAUCGUCGCAGCUGAAACCACAAACACUAAAUCCCAAUAGAAAUCACCAAAAACCCAAUCAUUUUUCUGGGGCUUAUAGCCCCAGACUCUUUCCAAAACCUUAAUUCAGUUCUGAACAUGGGGUUCGGAGAAUUAAGCCAGAAUUUUCAGGAAUUGAAACCAGGACAGAGCACGAAAGACCCUUGUUCGGUAUUUUCAGUUGUACAUAAAUGAUAAAACCCAGAAAGAGAUGGAGGAAAAUAGAAAAAAAUAGAGGGCUUACGCAUCAUAUUCUCUGGUUUUCUUGUAUCUCCAUUCAACCAAAGUUCAAAAAGUGCAAAAGGGUUAGCUGUGAGCCUUUAUAAAGGUCCCAAAUAGGAAAAUAGAGAAGACAGCUUGGCUUGGCGGCAGACGUCUGUCCUCGUUCUGUUUGUGUUUAUCUUCGCAUCGCUUUGUCACCUUCUUUCAGUCGGUCGUGAUUGGAAAGAGGAAAUGAUUGGUCCGAGGUCUUCUAUUUCCAAGUGAUCAUAUUCAUUUCACAUUACAUGAAACGAUAGGUACCUGCAUCCGCAGUUGUUGAAAUUGAUAUGGUUGACCGUUGGAAUUUAGGGAAGGAAGGAUGAUAUGUUCAUCAUGGAAAAUGGCUACAGUACCGUGCCGGUUGGGUUCUAUUACCAGCCAUCCAAUUUAACCAAGCUCUGAUUCAGGAGGAUAAAAAAAAAGAAAAAAAAAAAAAAGGAGAUUGUUUUUCCUUAUCAUCUUUAUCCUUUUCCAUCUUAAAUAUAUCUACUAAAAAAUUUAUUCAUAGAAUUAAAAUUUUGUAAGAUAAAUAUUUUAUUUUUAAUUAAUAACAACCUUGGCCACACUAGCUUAUGUAAUAACAAGAGACUCUCAAGAAUCAUUCUAAUAAAUAUGUAGUAAAAUUUGAAUCAUUGCAUAAACAUAUGCAAUUAAAGUAUUAAAAAAUGAUAUGAAAAUCCAAAGUCAUAAAGCCUUAAAAAACCUAUUAACUAUAUGAUUGAUGACUACUUAAAAUUGACAUAGACCCAAAUUCAUUGCAAUGUCACAUAUGUUGCACAUGCCAGCCAUGAAAAAUGAAAAAGAAGCGGCUAUAUUGGGUUCAUGCAUUUAGAGAAAGGGAUGCCAAAAGUGUAAAACCCUAGAGACCACAACCAUUUCCAUGGGCCCUGCAUGGAGAGUAGAAGCACACCCACAAUAAAUUAAUGGCUUUAUAAAAUGCCCACCGACAGUGACAAUAAAACUAGUAGAGAUGUAUAUGAAUCCAUUGAGAUAAGCCCUUCUGCACGUUUUUAAUAUUGUGACAACCACUAAAUUGACCCCAACCACUUCCAAAAAUAAUGCCUACCUGAUCCCAUCCUUGACCUCCCAUUUUAUUUUUUUUACAUUUAUGUUUAAUAAUUAAUAUCUUAAUUAUAAAAUGAGUAUCUUAAAAUAAAAUUAUUAUUUUUAAAACCAUGUAUUAAAGAAAUUGUAGUUUUUUUUAAAUAAAUAAAUAAUUGGUGACAAGAUUAGGUAGAUUAACCCAUUUGACCAUGAGUUAUAUUUUUUAAACUCUCUCUCUAUAUAUAAACACUUAUGGGAGAACAAGUCAUCACAAUCAACCUAUUUCAACCUUUUGCUAGGCAAAUCAAGCUCUAAUUAACAUCUUUUGUGCCCUAUACGUGCUUUUAGGAUUGCUUUGAAGCCAUUAGUGCCAACCUUGGAGUUCCUAAUAACUACCAUCCCGAUCUAUAGCCUCUUAAGAAGGAGCAUUUUGGACCAUAAUUUUUUCAACAAGGAAAAAAAACAUUAGUAUCUCUAUGGAGUGGUUACUAAGAAAAUAUUAGCUUGCGAUUUUAUGACAAGAGAACAAGGAAUAGUAUCAUAUCCCCAUACCAAAAACCCUACAUUGAGAAGCCAUUAAAAGCCAUUGAAGCUGCCUUUGCAAGCAAUGGUGAUGCAUGCAAGGAAUCAAUACAUGCCACAAAGAAAGCUCUAUAUUCUUUCUUAUCACUGCCAUCCACUUCCUUUAAUUUCCCUCAAUGCUCCAUUGGUUUUUUUGGGCUACAUGCCAUUAUCAUCUUUCCUAAGAACCAAUCCAUUUCUCCCUAACCAUUCUUUAAAAUAAACAAAUCACCAAUACAUAUGAAAAAUGAAGAGUUAUUGCUUUUGCUCUUAAUAGUUGUCACACUUUGAAUUUUCUUCAAGGGGGACACCAAGCUACCAUAUACCCUUUUCCUACCUCCUUUCUUCCUUUGUUUUUCCUUUUUUUUUUUUUAACACUUUAUGACAUUCUCCAUAUGCUUAAUGGUAUAUCUUUAUCCUUUUAUCAUUUUUCCAUUUUAGUAAUAUAAAAAAUUAAAAAUUUAAAAAUAUUAGAGAGAAAAUUCUAAGAAUUUUUUUUUUCUUAAAAAAGGUCUACACUAAUGCAUUCCUCAUAAAUUUAAUAUUCCCAUAAAAGUCCCUCUUUUCAUAAAACAUCUUGUUUUCUAGUGACUUUUAAAGUCAGCCUUUUAUUUUAUUAUUAUUACUUUUAAUUCAUUUAUUAAAAGGUUUUUGACUUUAGAAAGAGAACACCUAACAAAGUUGAGCAUGGAGCUACUUGAGAAAAUCCUUUUUUAAACUUUUGUAUAAACAGUUGACUCAGAUUGCAUGAAAAUUUUAUUAUACCAAAAUUACCCUUUUGAUAUCAACUUAAAACAGAAAAUAAUAGAAUAAAAAAAAUGGCCAUUUAAAUUUUAAACUCAACUUAUAUAUUUAAAGGGUAAAAGAAGUUGUUUAGGCUUUCUUGGUUUUUGACUUGUUUUUAAUUUUUUUAAAAAAAUAUAGCUCCAAAAAUAAGAAAAUUAUAAGAACCACCCCAUAAUAUAAAAAAGGAAUAUAAAUAUUAUAGAUAUAAAAUAAAUAUUACUAUAAAUAAAAAAUUAUCUUUUAUGUAUUUGAAAUCAAAUAUUAUAUAUGUUAUAAAUAUUUUGUUUACCUAUUAGAUUAUGAAUUAUUAUAAAUGAAUAUAUUCUAUUAUAACAUUUUAAAAUAAGAAUAUGGUAAUAUAUAUAUAUAUAUAUAUAUUAUAAUAUCAUAUAUUUAUAUACAUUUUCAAGAAAAAUAAGAAAUGAAAAUUACCUACAAAAAAUAAAAAUAGAUAACAAAAAUAUUAUACCCUAUUGUCUAAUAAAAUUUAAAAUAUUAACAAACUUAUGUUUUAUUCCUAUCAAAAUAUUUUUUAAUAUUAAAAAAUAAAGAUAAAACAUCAUUAAAGUCAUAAAACCAAGUUUCAGUCCCCAUAGAUCCUCAGCCUUUUUAGUUAGGAACCAUAAUGAAGAAAAACGAGGAAAAGCUAGGAUGGUUAUUAAUUAUAAAAGAUUGAAUGAUAAUACAUAUGAUGAUGCCUAUAAAAUUCCGAACAAAGAUUCUUUGAUCAAUUCUAUUCAAGGAUGUAAAUAUUUUUCUCAGUUAGACUGUAAAAGUGGAUUUUGGCAAAUCAGAUUAGAAGAGGAUAGUAAACCAUGGACAGCGUUUUCAUGUCCUUGUGGAUUAUAUGAAUGGAAUGUAAUGCCAUUUGGACUAAAAAAUGCUCCUCAGAUAUUCCAACGAAUGAUGGAUAAUAUUUUUGGAAAAUAUUCUUUUGUUCUUGUAUAUAUUGAUGAUAUUCUUGUCUUUUCAUAUACUCUUAAAGAACACAUAAAGCAUUUAGAACUGAUUUUUGAAAAAUUAAUUAGUCAUGGAUUAAUAGUAAGUAAAAAGAAAUUGAAAUUAUUUAAGACUCAAAUAGAAUUUUUAGGAUUAGAACUAGAGGAUGGACAAAUAAAAUUACAAGAACAUAUAGUACAAAAAAUAAAUAAUUUUCCAGACAAACUCGAAGACUUAAAAACCCUUCAAAGUUUUUUAGGAUUAUUAAACUAUGCUAGGCCAUAUAUUAAAAACCUUAGUAGAUUAGCUGGACCCCUUUANNNNNNNNNNNNNNNNNNNNNNNNNNNNNNNNNNNNNNNNNNNNNNNNNNNNNNNNNNNNNNNNNNNNNNNNNNNNNNNNNNNNNNNNNNNNNNNNNNNNNNNNNNNNNNNNNNNNNNNNNNNNNNNNNNNNNNNNNNNNNNNNNNNNNNNNNNNNNNNNNNNNNNNNNNNNNNNNNNNNNNNNNNNNNNNNNNNNNNNNNNNNNNNNNNNNNNNNNNNNNNNNNNNNNNNNNNNNNNNNNNNNNNNNNNNNNNNNNNNNNNNNNNNNNNNNNNNNNNNNNNNNNNNNNNNNNNNNNNNNNNNNNNNNNNNNNNNNNNNNNNNNNNNNNNNNNNNNNNNNNNNNNNNNNNNNNNNNNNNNNNNNNNNNNNNNNNNNNNNNNNNNNNNNNNNNNNNNNNNNNNNNNNNNNNNNNNNNNNNNNNNNNNNNNNNNNNNNNNNNNNNNNNNNNNNNNNNNNNNNNNNNNNNNNNNNNNNNNNNNNNNNNNNNNNNNNNNNNNNNNNNNNNNNNNNNNNNNNNNNNNNNNNNNNNNNNNNNNNNNNNNNNNNNNNNNNNNNNNNNNNNNNNNNNNNNNNNNNNNNNNNNNNNNNNNNNNNNNNNNNNNNNNNNNNNNNNNNNNNNNNNNNNNNNNNNNNNNNNNNNNNNNNNNNNNNNNNNNNNNNNNNNNNNNNNNNNNNNNNNNNNNNNNNNNNNNNNNNNNNNNNNNNNNNNNNNNNNNNNNNNNNNNNNNNNNNNNNNNNNNNNNNNNNNNNNNNNNNNNNNNNNNNNNNNNNNNNNNNNNNNNNNNNNNNNNNNNNNNNNNNNNNNNNNNNNNNNNNNNNNNNNNNNNNNNNNNNNNNNNNNNNNNNNNNNNNNNNNNNNNNNNNNNNNNNNNNNNNNNNNNNNNNNNNNNNNNNNNNNNNNNNNNNNNNNNNNNNNNNNNNNNNNNNNNNNNNNNNNNNNNNNNNNNNNNNNNNNNNNNNNNNNNNNNNNNNNNNNNNNNNNNNNNNNNNNNNNNNNNNNNNNNNNNNNNNNNNNNNNNNNNNNNNNNNNNNNNNNNNNNNNNNNNNNNNNNNNNNNNNNNNNNNNNNNNNNNNNNNNNNNNNNNNNNNNNNNNNNNNNNNNNNNNNNNNNNNNNNNNNNNNNNNNNNNNNNNNNNNNNNNNNNNNNNNNNNNNNNNNNNNNNNNNNNNNNNNNNNNNNNNNNNNNNNNNNNNNNNNNNNNNNNNNNNNNNNNNNNNNNNNNNNNNNNNNNNNNNNNNNNNNNNNNNNNNNNNNNNNNNNNNNNNNNNNNNNNNNNNNNNNNNNNNNNNNNNNNNNNNNNNNNNNNNNNNNNNNNNNNNNNNNNNNNNNNNNNNNNNNNNNNNNNNNNNNNNNNNNNNNNNNNNNNNNNNNNNNNNNNNNNNNNNNNNNNNNNNNNNNNNNNNNNNNNNNNNNNNNNNNNNNNNNNNNNNNNNNNNNNNNNNNNNNNNNNNNNNNNNNNNNNNNNNNNNNNNNNNNNNNNNNNNNNNNNNNNNNNNNNNNNNNNNNNNNNNNNNNNNNNNNNNNNNNGUUCAAAAACUAAGGACACAGAAGAACACACAGAAGAACCAAAAAGUCCUGUAAAAGAACCAAGGAAUCCUGAAAAAAUAACCUCAUAAAACCAAGUUUCAGUCCCCAUAGAUCCUCAGCCUUUUUAGUUAGGAACCAUAAUGAAGAAAAACGAGGAAAAGCUAGGAUGGUUAUUAAUUAUAAAAGAUUGAAUGAUAAUACAUAUGAUGAUGCCUAUAAAAUUCCGAACAAAGAUUCUUUGAUUAAUUCUAUUCAAGGAUGUAAAUAUUUUUCUCAGUUAGACUGUAAAAGUGGAUUUUGGCAAAUCAGAUUAGAAGAGGAUAGUAAACCAUGGACAGCGUUUUCAUGUCCUUGUGGAUUAUAUGAAUGGAAUGUAAUGCCAUUUGGACUAAAAAAUGCUCCUCAGAUAUUCCAACGAAUGAUGGAUAAUAUUUUUGGAAAAUAUUCUUUUGUUCUUGUAUAUAUUCUUAAAGAACACAUAAAGCAUUUAGAACUGAUUUUUGAAAAAUUAAUUAGUCAUGGAUUAAUAGUAAGUAAAAAGAAAUUGAAAUUAUUUAAGACUCAAAUAGAAUUUUUAGGAUUAGAACUAGAGGAUGGACAAAUAAAAUUACAAGAACAUAUAGUACAAAAAAUAAAUAAUUUUCCAGACAAACUCGAAGACUUAAAAACCCUUCAAAGUUUUUUAGGAUUAUUAAACUAUGCUAGGCCAUAUAUUAAAAACCUUAGUAGAUUAGCUGGACCCCUUUAUAGUAAAACAAAAAAUACAGGGCAGAGAUAUUUUAACCAAGAAGAUAUUAAACUUAUACAGAAAAUAAAAGAACUUGUGAAACAUCUCCCAACCUUACAUUUACCCUUAGAAAAUGAAUAUAAAAUAGUCCAAACUGAUGCUAGUCAAACAGGAUGGGGGAGGUAUACUUUUAGCUGUAACUAAUAUAGGAGAAGAAAAACUUUGUAGAUAUUGUAGUGGAACUUUUAAUGAUUAUCAAAAGAACCUUAGCUCUACAGACUUAGAAAUUGAAGCAAUAAUAUUAGUCUUAGAAAAAUUUCAAUUAUUUUUGAACCAAGAACAAUUUACUUUAAGAACCGAUUGUGAGAAUAUUAAAAAAUUCUUUGAAAACAAAAAUUCUUCAAAACUGUCCACCAAAAGAUGGAUAAAGUUUCAAAACUCUUUAAUUGGUUUCAAACCUAAAUUUGAACAUAUUAAAGGAAAAGAUAAUAUAUUAGCAGACUGGUUAAGUAGACAAAUAAUUAAUAAUGUCGAUAAUACUAAUGAUUGAUUUCAUGAUUACAGGAACAUGGCUCAAAGAAAACCUACGAAAGCUAGAACCUUUCAAUAUGGAACCAUAUGUCUAAACGAAGUGUUGAAUCCAAACCUAAGGUUUAACUCUUUAUUUUCUCAAAACCUUUUUGAAGAACAUAAGGUUAUUGUAGAUAAUUUUUGGUCUUUAAAACCACAAAGUUUUCCGAACCAAAAUUUAGAAUACGCUUAUGGAAAAACAGUGUCAACCAAUCAAACCAGCUGUUCAAACAGUCAACCUGAAGUAAUUAGUUUAAUUAAGAAAUCAGCUCUUCUGACUGAACAAUAUGAAAGGCUUGUUGUUAAAAACAUAAUUGGAGUUGAUAACUACUCUUUCGUCAAAACCUUUUUUCUACAAAACCAAUAUAACAAAGUGUUUAAAAAUCAAGAACUUUUGUAUAAACAUUUUAGAACUAAAAAUGUCGGGAUAAAAACAGGGUAUAUGGCAUAUCACGACCCUGAAUUUUUCUUUGUUAUAUAUUUAGCUUAUGUAAAUAUGUCUGUUGUAAAUAAAGAAAAUUUUGAUUUAGUACCGCAAUUUAUGGAUCAGGGAAUUUUAAAAAAUGUUUUUAUGAACCAUAUAUCUCAAAUCCCUGAAAAUUUCCCAGAAAAAUUGAAAGAUAUUUUAACUUAUCUUUUUAAAACCGAAAAAUAUAUAGAUAUUUCUUUUGAAACCAUUCCACCGUUAUUUCAACCCGAUGGAUCAGUAGUACCAGCCUAUCAUCAUGUAUAUAUAAAACAUAAUAAAGAACCACUCAUCCCUCAACAAGAACCAGAAUGGGAAAUGACCCGUUCAGAUGAAUUUCCAGAAUUUUUUACUCGCUAUAGAGCUUUUCAAAUCUAUGAUCUUAGACCAACCCGGAAUAAAUUAUUUCAUCUCAUUGGCGAAACAAAAACCAUGUCUAUAUGGAGAAUAAAACCUUUAGAACACAUCAUUGUUCCAAACCCUUUUAUUACUUCUGAAGAACAGGAUUUUAUAACCGAACUCAGUGUAGAUAUACCGGAACCAUCUUCCUACCUCAGCGAUGACGCAUUAUUUUGGGACAACCUGGACGAUGAAAGUUAUCAUAAUCUACAAAAUGCAAUGGAAGGAUGAUGUCAGCAAUGACGACAUUGAAGCAGUAAAUGCGUCUUCAACUACAAAAAUUAAACAUGGCAGUACAAGUUCAGAAGCAGUAAAGACAUCCACAAGCCACGUGUUAUGCAUGUAAUAAAAAGAAAAGAAAAGGACAAGAGAAAGAGACAAGAAGGAAGAGAAGAACGGAUGAAUAAAAGUCACAUGUCUCAAAAGUCAAAAGUCUUUGUAUUUAUUUUAUACCAAACCUCUGAACACCGUAAAUAUUUUUCCUACCAUCCAACCACUUGAAAUUAAUUCUCACCUGUAUUCUCACCUGUCCCUUGUAAAUGCUUUGCCUAUAAAUUAGUGGUAGUAAAAGGAAAGAAGUGUGCCCGAGAGAAAGUGUGUGCAAUAGUGUGCAAAGUUGUCUGUAAAGAAGCUCCAUCAUCUUCAGCCUUGUAAAUUCAUCAGCAAUCAAUAAGAAAGUAAGAAUUUUCUGUUAAAUUUUUUGCCUUCAUUUAAAUUUCUGUAUUAUGUAUUUUUCUUACCCUUAGGGGGUAAAAAGGGGUAAAAAGGUAAAAUAGGGAAAUGAAAAUUAUUUGAAUUAUUUUUAAGUUUUCUUUACUAGUUAAUAUCUGUAAUAUACAUGGAUCCUUUUUAUAUAACGUUCUCAUCAACAUAAAAAAAAAAAAAAAAAAAAAUCGGUUUAUUUAGAAAAUUUUGGGUGUAAAAUCAUGUUUUAAAACUAGAGUCUUUAGUCUUAACCCUUGACCUCAAACCCGUUUUUGCCGGAAAAUUGGCGUUUUAGGGAGACUAUGUCUGGUCAGAAGGGGGGUAUUACCUUGACACGAAGUGAUGUUUUAAAAAUUUUUGAAUUUUAUUACCUGAAUUUUUGAGAUAUCCGAUUUCAAAAGAUUUCAAAACUUUAUUUUAUACGUUCAAAAACUUUCACUAUAAGUUUANNNNNNNNNNNNNNNNNNNNNNNNNNNNNNNNNNNNNNNNNNNNNNNNNNNNNNNNNNNNNNNNNNNNNNNNNNNNNNNNNNNNNNNNNNNNNNNNNNNNNNNNNNNNNNNNNNNNNNNNNNNNNNNNNNNNNNNNNNNNNNNNNNNNNNNNNNNNNNNNNNNNNNNNNNNNNNNNNNNNNGUGUAUUGCAGUAUAUUAAUUAGGAAAGGAGACUGUAGAUUCAAAUUGAUUUUCAGAGUACCGAACUUUACCUUACCCCAUAUAAAGUCUGAUUAAUUUUGCUUAAUUUAUUCUGAAUCUUUAUUUGCUCUGCUUACUUAACAUGAAUUAGGAAUUAAUGUCUUUUAUUCCUUAUCCUCCUGGUAUAUAUAAUAUAGAUUAUGAUCGUGUAAAAGAACUUAAUAAUAGGUUGUAUUCUCAACGUAAAGAAUUUAGAGAAACUUGUGAUAAAUUACAUAAUUUAAGAACUACUGUAAAAGAUUUAACCACAGAUAUUAAAAACUUAACUUCUCUUAAAUAUUUGAAUGAAUACGAAGUAGCUAUACAAGAAGCUUUUGAUGAACUUUUUGCUACAGAAACCAUAAUUAGAAGAGAAAUUAUAAAAUAUUAUAUUGAUAAUUUAUAUGCUAGCUCAUCUAAUUAAAACAUAUUAGAGAUAAUGAACCCUCAUCUACAAACCCAAGAGGUAAAGCAGUUAAAAUUUUUAGUAGAGACACAAUUAAAAAUAACAAACGAAGUAUUACAAGAACAAAUUCAGAAAGAAAACCAAAACAAUAUAGAUAUUUUAAAAGAAAUCCAGAAAAGACAAAUAAAAUCUGUAGAAAAACUAAACACGAUUUUAGGAAUUAGAAAAGAAGCUGGAAGACUUUAAGAACCAUAAUUUGCUAAGAAAUAACCUAGAUUAUAUUAAAGAACAAUUAGCUAGAGAAGAAAAAUUUGUCAGAAAAGAAAUAGAACAAAUAAAAUUAGAACAACAAAAUUUAAAAGAAACUUUAGAAAAAAUUAACCAAAAAGUAGAUAAACUUUUAGAACAAAGAAAUAUAGUAAUAUCAGAGGAACAAAAAUUAAAUAACCUUUUAAAACAAUUUGAAAACUUUAAUUUAGGAGAAAAACCAAUAAUUAAAAUAGAGAUUUUAAUUUAUUCUAAUUUAGAGGUAUUUUGAUUCUCUAUUACAAGUUAUUUUUAAAUAUAUUUUUCAAAAAUUAAAAAAUUAAAGACUUCUGUUUUUAGAUAAGUUGUUUUUACAAAUAAUUUUUUUAUUUUGGAAAAAAAUACAAAUUAUAAAUUCAAUUAAUGUUUUAUUAAAAAUGAAAACAAUUUUAAAUUAUAAGUAAAUUAAAAAUAAAUAUUUUUUAAUAAAAUAUAAAUAUUAGUAAUAUAAUAAAAUCAUAAAUUACAUUAUUUUAUAAAUAUUAUAAAAAAAUAUAGAUAUUAACAUUAAUUGAUUUAUCUUGUUUAAAAUAAAUAAUAAUUCAAAAUCAAUAAUUUUUAAUACUAUUUAUAUGAUUUUAUAAAUAUUAUAAAAAUAUGGACAUUAAUAUCUUAUAAAAUCAUAAUUAAUUUAUUUUAUUAAAAAUAAAAAAUAACUACUCCAAAUUAAUAAUUCCUAAUACUAUUCUAUUUUAAAUGAAUAUAAAAAUAAAUAAAUUUUAAUUUUUUAAGGUAUAAAUGAGUAAAAAAAUUUAUCAUAUGCAUAUAAAUUUAUCAUUUGCAAAAAUUUGUUUUGAAACUAAAUUUUUAACAUUUUUUUGUAAAAUAUCUUUUGCAGCUUUGCAAUCGAUUUUCAAAAGAAAUUUUUUAUUUAUCAAAUCACUUUGAAAAUUUGAAAUACAUAAAACUAUUGAUAAAACUUCUUUUUUGACAGUUGAAUAAUUUAUUUGAGCGCCCAACCAGAUCCCUGAAUGAUAUCUAACUAUAUGCACUUGAUUGUUAUAUUCUUGCUUUAAUAUGCCUCCAUAACCUAAAUUAGAUGCAUCUGAUUCUACAAUGAGCAAUGCAUUUGGAUGAGGGAUGCUGAUGCAUGGUAAACGUUUGACUCUUUGUUUAAUUUCUUUGACCAAACUAGUAUGAUGCUCAGUCCAUGCAGGUGCCUUUUUUCUAAGUCUUUUGUAUAAGGGUUCACAAAUGAUUCUCAAAUCUUUGAAGUAAUUAGAAACAUAAUUUAAACAUUCUAGAAAUCUUUACAAUUGUUUUUUAUCUUUUAUUUCAUCAGGAAAUUUGUCAGCAAAUUCUAUUGACCUUUGAAUCGGUUUUGUUUUUCCUUGAAAAAUUUCAUGUCCUAAAAAUCUAAUUCUUGUUUGAAAUAAUUUCAUUUUUGGAGCUGAACAAGCCAUUCCAUUUGCUUUAAUGACAUUGAAAAACUUUUUUAUAUGAACAAAAUGUUUUUCUAAUGAAUCAGAAAAUACUAAGACAUCACCAAUGUAUACAAUUAUAAAUUGAAAAUGAGGAUUGAAAAUAUCAUUCAUAAUAUUUUGAAAUUCAGAAGGGGCAUUUUUGAGACCAAAAGGCAUGACAUUCCAUUCAUAAUGACCAAAAGGGACAGUAAAAGCAGUUUUGUACCUAUCUUAUUCUUUAAUUUGAACUAGCAAAAAUCCAGAUUUCAUAUCAAAUUUUGAAUAAAUUACAAAACUAUGUAAUCUUUUGAGUAAAUCUUGCUUAUUAGGAAUAGGGUAUCUUAUCCAUUGUAAUACUUUAUUUAAAGGUUUAUAAUUAAUGACUAAUCUUGGUGCUCCUUUUUCUAUCUCAGCAGCAUUUUGUACAUAAAAAGCGGCACAACUCCAAGGAGAUUUUGAGGGUCUAAUUAAUUUCUUCUUUAAUAAUGAAUCAAUUUCUUGUUUACAAUAUUCUAAAAGUUUUUCAUUCAUUUGAAUAGGUCUAGCCUUAGUAGGAAUUUUAGAUUCAUCAAAGUUUUGAACGUAAGGCAGACUUAUCUCAUGUUUCUUUCUAGACCAAAAAGCAUUUGGAAGAUCAGAACAAAUUUCUUUUUGAAAAAGAUCUUGAAUCUCUUUUAUUCUCUUUUGAACCUUUUCUUCUACAAGUUGUUCUUCUAUCUUUUUAUAUUGAAUUUCUUUAGAUAGAUAAUUUAUAUGAGCUUGUUUUCUUUGGAUUAAAUUUAUUCUUUUAUUUAUUGAAUCACUUUGGACUUGAUGUAUUUCUUUUUUAGUUAAGGGAUAUAUAAAAGGGAAAAAUAUGGUAUUUCCUAAUAUUGUAGUUUCGAGACCUUCAUCAUUUACUUGAAAAGGGUAAAGUAAUGUAAUAAAAGGAGUUCCUAAGAUUAAAGGUUCAGUCAUAUUUUGUACUAAUAUAAAUUGAGUUCUAAAACAAUAAUUAUCUUGACAUAUAUGAACAUUUUGAAGUUUAAAUUCUAUUUCUAAUUUUCCUUUAUUUGCAGCAAAAAGUUCUUGUCCGGUUUGUUCAUAAUAUUUAACAGGAAUUAAUCCUUCUUGAAUACAAUUCAUAUCAGCUCCUGAGUCUAUUAAUGCUACUAUUUCCAUUUCAAAAUCUUUUACUAUGAGUUUUAUAUUUGUAUACCAUCUUUGAAAUUCUAUUUCUGUUAUUGUAUUUAUAAAUGAUUCUAUAGGAGUUUGUUUAUUAGGUAUAAUUAUUCCUGGUUCUUGAUUAUCAGAGGUUUCAACAAAAUCUUGUUUAUAUUGUAUUACAUUUCUAAUUUGUUCAUUUUCUUGUUUUAUUUGCUCAUUUUCUUGUUUUAUUAUUUCGUUUUCUAUUUUUAUUUGUUCAUUUUCUAAUUUUAAUUGAUUUAUUUGAAUUUUUAUUUCUUUUAUUUCUUCUUUCAAGUCUUUAAUAGUUAUUGGCCUUUGAGUCUUUUUGAAUCUAUUAUAAAUUUCAUCCAUUGAAUAUUGUGUAGGUUUAAUUUGAAUUUUAUUUGAAUCUUCAUUGAGAAUUAAAUUUUUCAAAUUUUUUAAAUAAUUUCUUUGUGUUUCUUCAUCUUGAAUUUUAUCUACUACAUCAAAAAAUAUUUGCUUAUCUACUUUUGAAGAUAUUACAUUUAUUGUUUUUUUUUUCUUUAUUUUCUAUUUUUUUAUUUCAUUAAUUUCUUUUAUUGUUUUUUCUUCUAUCUUUGCUUCCUCUACCUCUCCCGGGACAGAAGAAAACAAAAUUUGAUUAAAUUUUGUUUCACUUGACUCUUCUUUUGAUUCUUUACUUGACUCUUCUUGAUUUGAGUUUUGUUUUUCUAACAGUUUUUUAUUAUGUGGAGAAUUUUCUAUUGCUUUUCUUGAAGUUAAUGUUGCAAUUCUUUUAAGGGGUUUCCUAUAUUUGAAAAACCAAAGGAAAAAAGGAAUAGUGAUCCUAACUUGUUGCAUAUAUUUUUCAUAUUGUUUUCUUAAAGCAUUUCUAACUUGAGGAGGAAGUUGUUGAAAAUAAUUUCUUUUGGCAGUAUUGUGGACCCUCACCCGAUCCACCGGACCGACGUGACUCGCUUUUAAAAGAAAAGAAAGAAAUGAAAAAGUUGGUGUUUUCCAGUUUUGAAAAACCCGCCCCCGGUGAGGAACGGUGUUGUUUGGAGUCGCCACUUACUUUUUAUUUUUGUUUUUAAAAUGGGGAAAAUUAAGUAAGAACAAAAACCCCUAAUGACCCCAAUAUGGAAAAAAAGGGUCUACGAAAACUAGAUUCUGGGUCCGGGGAUCAGGUUACCCGUUGGGAAGGUACCUCAUGCAAGGUAGCACCCCUCUAGGCCCGGAACUCGGUCUCUACUAAUGAAUUGGGUAUGUGGGAGCAUAUGGGUCAAAGGUCAAAUGAAACCCUAGGCUAAAUAGAUGUCAUGAAUCACACAAUCCUAAUUGGUAUUUGGCAUGCAUAUGAAUUCAACCAAACAAAACAAUGGGUGCGUACCUGUGGUCCCUAGCCAAGCGCUGCAUAAAAGGUCAGCCAAACAUAGAUAAACACAUAACAAACAUUCAAGAUUAAGUACCAUGCAUGCAUAUGAAUUCAACAACCAAAGCCAACGAUGCGUACCUGUGGUCCCUAGCCAAGCGCUGCAGCAGAGGGUGAGUCAGUCACGCAACAAUGUAUUCAAAAUCAAGCAUCAAAGCUUGUGCCAAAAAGGAGGAUAGCUGGUUGAAAUGAGGUAAGGGACUCCACAAAUGUCAUACAAAUUGAACUAGACUCAUCUAGACCACACCACCCAUAACUUCCAAAUUGCCCAUACUAACUGAAAUCAAACACUGACUUAAACCUUCAAGAUGGCUCACAAGUGCCCUAUAGCAAAUGGGUUUGAGCCCCCCAUGGAUAAGGGCUCGAAAAAUGCCAAAAUCAAGGGCUACCUAAAGUCCUCCAGCAGAACAGGUUUAACUAGUUCUCAACUGGUACAACCCAUUGAGAAGAAUUCCCAAAUUUUUCUAGAAAACUCCUAAAUGAGUGAGGAUUCAAACAAAAGAAACGACACUCAAUCCCGAGCCCGGAUGAGUGAGAACCAGACAAAGAAAGGCAGGUGUUCCUUAUGGCUGAAAGAGGCAGCCAGCUAUGGUGCUGAACCGAUUGAACCGGUUCCCAACCAGUACAUCCGGUUGAUAAAAAAUCCCAAAUUCAGUCAGUAAGUUCCUAAGUGAUUAAGGAAGCAAACAAAAGAAACGGUUCUCAAUCCUGAGCCCGGAUGAGUGAGAACCAGACAAAGAAAGGCAGGUGUUCCUUAUGGCUGAAAGAGGCAGCCAGCUAUGGUGCUGAACCUAUUGAACCGGUUCCAAACCAGUACAUCCGGUUAAUAAAAAAUCCCAAAUUCGGUCAGUAAGUUCCUAAGUGAUUAAGGAAUCAAACAAAAGAAACGACUCUCAAUUCCGACCCCGGAUGAGUGAGAACCAGACAAAGAAAGGAAAGUAUUCCUCAUGGCUGACAGAGGCUGCCAGCUAUGGUGCUGAACCGAUUGAAUCGGUUCCCAACCAGUACAUCCGGUUGAUAAAAAAUCCCAAAUUUGGUCAAUAAGCUCCUAAGUGAUUAAGGAAGCAAACAAAAGAAACGGUUCUCAAUUCCGACCCUGGAUGAGUGAGAACCAGAUAAAGAAAGGCAAGUGUUCCUCAUGGCUGACAGAGGCUGCCAGCUAUGGUGCUGAACCGGUUGAACCGGUUGGUAAAAAAUCCCAAAUUCGGUCAGGAAGUUCCUAAGUUAUUAAGGAAGCAAACAAAAGAAACGGUUCUCAAUUCCGACCCCGGAUGAGUGAGAACCAGACAAAGAAAGGAAAGUAUUGCUCAUGGCUGACAGAGGCUGCUAGCUAUGGUGCUGAACCGGUUGAACCGGUUCCAAACCGGUUCAUCCCGUUGGUAAAAAAAUCCCUAAUUUGGUCAUAAAUUUCCUAAGUGAUCAAGGAAGCAAACAAAAGAAACGGUUCUCAAUUCCAAUCCCGGAUGAGUGAGAACCAGACAAAGAAAGGCAAGUGUUCCUCAUGGCUGACAGAGGCUGACAGAGGCUGACAGAGGCUGCCAGCUAUGGUACUGAACCGGUUGAACCGGUUUCCAACCGGUUCAUCCGGUUGAUAUAAAAUCCCAAAUUUGGUCAGAAAGUUUCUAAGUGAUUAAGGAAGAAAAAAAAAGAAAAAAAAAAGAAACGGUUCUCAAUUCCGAGCUCGGAUGAGUGAGAACCGGACAAAGAAAGGCAGGUGUUCCUCAUGGCUGACAGAGGCUGCCAGCUAUGGUGCUGAACCAAUUGAACCGGUUCCAAACCAGUUCAUCCGGUUGGUAAAAAAUCCCUAAUUCGGUCAGAAAGUUCCUAAGUGAUCAAGGAAGCAAACAAAAGAAACAAUUCUCAAUUCCGAUCCCGGAUGAGUGAGAACCAGACGAAGAAAGGCAAGUGUUCCUCAUGGCUGACAGAGGCUGCCAGCUAUGGUACUAAACCGGUUGAACCGGUUUCCAACCGGUUCAGCCGGUUGAUAAAAAAUCCCAAAUUCGGUCAGAAAGUUCCUAAGUGAUUAAGGAAGAAAACAAAAGAAACGGUUCUCAAUUCCGAGCUCGGAUGAGUGAGAACCGGACAAAGAAAGACAGGUGUUCCUCAUGGCUGACAGAGGCUGCCAGCUAUGGUGCUGAACCGGUUGAACCGGUUCCAAACCGGUUCAUCCGGUUGGUAAAAAAUCCCUAAUUCGGUCAAAAAGUUCCUAAGUGAUCAAGGAAGAAAACAACAACAAUCAUGUGUGGCCUUUAUUAUCCACACCCAAGCAAUACAAUCUUCAUAUCAAAGGGAGAAAAGAUGAUGAGGAAGGAGAAAAAGCAUAUGAAGACGAGGAAGAUAAAUUGUAAGUAAAGAAAAUUCAGCGUGCUUACCUCAGAAUCUCCACCAAAUAUGAUCCGUGCAUGCCGAUGAUGACUUCCAAAACUGAGAGGCUGUCACUCUCCUCUUCAAAAAACCACAGUGCUGAAGCUUUCCCCCACACUCUCAACUCAGAAGAUGCUACUGAUCUUUUGUUUUUCUCACCAGCAGAAUUUCCCCUCUCCAAAAUGUCCAAGGUCCUUUGCUCUCCUAUCCUCUCACCUUUUAUACUCAUACCCCUCUUAGCAUUUGAGCCUCCUGGGUUCCUUCCCUUUCAGCACCGAAAUUCCCUUCAUCAGCAUGGGAACCACACCCCUCAUUACUUCUCUUAGACUUACAAGGCCAGCUCACUCCCUUCAGUUUUUUCAGCUUGCUUCACCACCAAGAAUCCAUAUGGAUUCGUGGUGGGCUGCAAGGAACCCAAACCAAGGCCCAAAAUGGACCCACAACAUUGCCCAAAACCAAUCUGGAGCUUAUGAGCCUGAGCCAUGUAGGAUUUGGGCCUCAAAAUUACUAGAAUUAGUGUUUUACCUCAGCUGACUCAAUGAACCGGCUGAACCGGCCGAACCGGAUGCCAACUGGUCGACCCGAUGGAGAAAAAUUCUGAAAAUUUGACAGAAUGUUCCUAGUAGAGUAAGGAAUCCAUUAAAAAAAACGGUGCAUGAUUCCAAGUUUGGAAGUGGGAGAUAUGAUCAAAACAAUUACCAAAAAUCAGUGUUCUACACCGGCUGACCUAAUGAACCGGCUGAACCGGCUGCCAACCAGCCGACCGGUUGCAAAAAAUUUUGAAAAUUUUACAGAAUGUUCCUGGAAGAAUAAGGAAUCCAUAAAAAGAAACGGUUCUUGAUUCCGAGUUUGGAUGAGGGAGAUACGAUCAAAACAAGCCCAAGUGCUCCGAACCUCAACAUGCCCCUAUAAACUCCAACUAAGCUAAAACAUCGGGAUGACCCCACUUCCUUCCUAUAGCGUGAUGUGAACGACCAGGAAAAUGGCCAUGGUGACCCUCCUAAAUGAACCACAUAUGCACCACAAUGGACCACACACAAACCCACACGAGGCUCGGACACUGACUAAGCCCAAAAGAGGCCCUAGUGGUGCCAUAUGCGAACGAUGGGUGGAUGUGACACCCGAAGGAUAAAUGCCAGUGUUGAGGGACAAAAUUGAGGGUCUACAAGUAUUUUCAGGAGAAAAAUAAUUUGCUUUGAUCAAUUCUACUUCAGGAACAAAAGGAUUUCUUUUAAUACUUCUUUUCCUAAUGAUAUUUAUGUUUAAAGGAGGUUCAUUAUGAGAAAAAAUAAUUGACUCAGACUCUUCUUUAAAAAGAGGAAUUUCCGGGACAAAGUUUGACAUAUUUUUUAGUUGAUUUUCUAUUUGACUCAUUUCUUCAUCUAAUUUUGAAAUAUUAAAUUUUAUAUGAUGACUAUAGAAUGAUGCAGAUGAUGAUGCAGCAGGUGAUGAUGCAGUAAAGUUGAUUAUCUUAUAUGAAGAUCUUUCUAAAUCAUAUGCAGAAUUAUUUAAUGCAAAUGCAGAACUAUCAUGGGACCUAAGAGAUCUGGAAGAACUAUUUCUACUUAAUUUCCUAAUACUAUUACUCAUUGUCACAUAAAAUAAUCACAAUUUUAUCCUUAAUCAAUUCAGAUAAUUUCCUGAACAGGGACCACCACAAGCUGAUCAACACGGGACUUACGCUCCUUCUACCCUUAAACACCGCUUAUCACAGGCUGACCAAUCCGUUCACAGGAAAUUCAACCCGAAUUAUGUCAGGACUAAAUCUGUGAUUAAUUACUGUUCCAACUCGUAACACCACUCGGUUCUCAAGCAGAAAAUGGCUCUGAUACCAUUUGCACCCAGGACAUACAACAGUUCAUGCACGCAAUAAUUAAUUCUGUCUAAUUAUCUCCAAGCAUAAAAACAGAAAUAUUUAAUGUCUAAUACUGUCUAAUUUAUUGCAGAAAUUUAAGCAUAAUAACACAAAUAUUUGAGUCUGAAAAUUUUGUUUAUUGAAAAUAUACCUUAAUACAGAGAGCUGAUGAAUACAAGUUGUUGACAGUAGAGGGAUGACUCGAACUCAAAAAAGAAAAUUACAAGAGAAAAUUUUUUGAAUUCUCAAAAUUUUUCACUCUCUAAUAUUUUUUAUGCUCUUGAGGCUCUCUCGAACUCUUUCCAAACUCUGCCUGAUGAAGAAUGUUGAGGCUCUAUUUAUAGGCGAGGAAUCAAACUUGAAAUUCUAUUGAAUCUUCAAAAUUGUUGAAAUUCAUCACGUGUAGAGACAGUUGGGGCAAUGAAGUCUGUAGAUGGAGAAUAUUUUUUCUUUUCUUUGUCAGAGACUUGAAAAGAGAAAACUUCUCUUUCCUUUCCCAUUCUCCACGUUGCUUGUAAAGUAGUAGAAAGUAGACAAAUUCUACUACUCACUACUAUUCAUGACUUUUGAUGUGAUUUUUUUUUUUUUUUUUUACUGGAUGAUCACAAGGGAGCAAAUUUACAUAGAUACAGAUGUACAAAAGAUUUUUGAAAUCUUUUAUCUGGAUUGACCCAUAGGUUCUCCGUAAAGGAUAAACUUAGGGUCUACGUAUGAGUCAUCUGAUAAAACUGCAUCUUUAGUUUCUUCAUUUUCUUGAUCUCCAAACUGUUUGAGGGUUUGAAUGAGUCCUUGACGAUAUUGCUCUAAAUCAGUAGCGGCUGCUAAUGAAGCUUGACAUUUUCUUUUCAAAGUUAGGAAUUCUUCUUGAGUCGGUCCUUGAGAAGAAGUUGUUGAAUCUUUUGAAUUUGAUGAUCCUGGCCUUGAUGUAAUUAGUUGCAAAACC